rnacentral:lncRNA from 1 species
AUCAUACUCUUAUCAUCUCAAAUAUGAACUACUAAUAAGCACUUUGAUGUCCCCAGUUGCUUCCCUGAUUCUUUUUGCAGACUCUUCCGCAGAUUGUCUGCACCAGUGCACUUCAAUCAAUUCCAGUGUGCCUAUGUCUGCAAAAUCAUACGGGAUUUCCUUGAGGUCUUUGCAAUUUUGCAAGACAAGCCGUUCAAGUUUGGGAAGGUGAUCACAAGUAGCAUUCCAUUGAGAAACGUUCAGAUUGUCUAACUUCAAGAAUUUGAGUUCCUUGAACUGAUCUUCCUCCAUGUCCCAUGUCAGCCCCUCAAAGGCAUCAAGAAGUAAUUUGAGAACUUCCAGGUUGGGUAGUCUCCCAAUUGUUGAGAUAUGACUCCAUGGUAGACGAAACUUUGAAAGAGUCAAUUUCCUCAGAUUGGAAGGGAGAAUGAAUUCCCUGGUAAUAGCGCUUCCAUAGUAAGAUACAUUGAGUGACACCAAAUGAGUUAGAAAAUCUAAUCCUGGAAACUGAUAGGAAUUCUUCGAAGAACCCUGUGGAUGAAAGAAUAUGCAUCUCAGUUUCUGGAGAUUUGGCAACCUCUUUAUUAUUGAUUCUGUAUCUUCACCACAAGAGAGAGAGAGACAGGAAAGGCUGACCAAAUCACCCAACUUACAGCAGACUUCAAGCCCUUCAUCAUCCAAUGUGAAAGCAACAUGCAUAUUCACAUGAAGAUGCCUCAACCUUGUCAUGUGCCAAAUAGUAUCUGGUAAGACAACCUGACCACGUAAUCCCUUCAAAACAAAAGUUUCUAGUUUUCGGAGAUUGCCUAUGGAUUGUGGAAUAGUUUGCAUAUAACCAGUGAUUGCCAAAUACCUCAAAUGAACCAGGCAUGUAAUGUCAGCAGGGAAGGUGACACCCAGGUUGAUGCAUUCAAAAUCUAACACCCGCAGAAGUUUGAAGUUGUGCCAAAUGAAUGAGAUGUCAUAAGGACAUCUGGGCUCUGAAUCAGCUGAAGGAAAGAAUAUCAAAGAACGAGUACCCAGGCCAAAAGGUCUUGAUUUAAAAAAAUGGAGUCGCUUCAAAAAAAAGCACAAUCGGUAGGCUUCAUAUGUGACAGGAUCAGAAUGAUGGCCAAUUUCAAAACCAAAAUCUGAACUAGGAAAAGAUACAUAUGGCUCAUCAAACCUGGUUACUAGCCGGAAGAAGUUCUCUGCUCUGGCUUUUAACUGACAAAAAUCACGCAACAGAUCAUGCAAGCGACAUGAUUUGACCAUUCCGUUGGAUCUUCUUUUGGAGACUUCCACCAGGCUUCUGCUAAUCAACUCCAUCAAGUAACCCUCGGCAAUACCUUCUAAGCUCUUCAACUCAGAGUCAUGAAUGAAACCUUCAGCAAGCCAAAACCGUAUCAACUUGCUAACAGGAAUAUCCUUGUCUUCAAGGAAAACUCCCAAAUAAAGAAAGCACGGUUUUAGAUAUCCCGGCAAGUGUUUGUAACUCAAUUCAAAGAUUUCCAUGCACCGAGCUUUUGGAUCUUCUAUAACUUCAGCAAUCAAGCCUUUUGCAAUUUUCCCCCAUGAUGCUCUGCUCUUUUCUAUCUUUUGGAGGAGACCAGAUAUUGCAACAACAGCAAGAGGCAAUCCUUUACACUUUUUGGCAAUUUCCUUUCCAACAAGCAACAAUUCUUCGGGACAACCUUCACCAUGGAAUACUUUCUCUACUAAUAAGUUCCAGCUUUCAUCAUCAGAAAAUAAGCGUAGAGAAUGAGGAUCACUAUCUGGUUCAAUUUGCAAGGCCACAUCACGAAGGCGGCUGGUAAUCAAAAUUCUGCUUCCAUUGGCAUCAUCUGGGAAUGCAUUUCUUAACUCAUUCCAAACUCCAGCAUCCCACACGUCAUCCAUAACAAUGAGAAACCUGUUUCUCAGUAAGCACUGACGCAAUUUUAAUUGGAGAUCUUCGUUAGUCAUUUGACGAAUUUCAUCCGUAAGCCCGAGAAUGCCACGUAAAAUCUCCAGCAGCAGGUCUCUUUUGUCAUAUCCUUGUGAAACAGUACACCAUGCACGACAAUGAAAGUGAGACAAAACCUUUUGGCAGUUAAACAGUUUCCAAGCCAUUGUUGUCUUGCCAAUACCGGGCAUUCCCACAAGAGAAACAAUACCAAACUUUGAGGAUCCCUUGACAAGUUGAUCAGUUAUAGAUUGUUCUUCAUCUCUGGGAUCCACCACCAUUCCAUUGAUUGCUGGUGUAGCAUCCCGUGAUAUCACGUUGGGUGGAACCUGGAUGACGUGUUUGUUAUCUAGGACUUUGGCUUGAGGGGUCGUCAACUGAAUUCUAGAGGCUCGCUUAUUAACAAUUCUUAACUCCUCUAGUAGAUCAUAAACCAAAAAGAAACCUUGCCAUUGAGGAUCGACCUCAAUUGAGUCAAUGACAAACUCAAUUUUGUAAGCAAUAUUGGCAACAUGACCACCAAGAACUUUCACUUCUGGAUUGUUAUCAAUAUCCGACUCUGAGACUUUCAUGAGAAAAGAACCCAAAGACUUGAAAUGUAGAUGAAUUUCUUUUAUGUAAUUCCUGACUGGUUCAAUUGACGCAGGAUCAUAGUUCAGCAGUUCCUCCAGGCUUCCGAUGAGAAAUUCAACGAACCCUGGCUUGUCAGUCUUUGGAAAAUCAGACAAUGGAAAUGGGGGACUAACCACUCUGAGCGUAGACUUGAUAGGAUUCAGCUUAUCUUGCAGUCUAGAAGAUGAGAUGAUCAUAUUGUGGAUGGGUCCUGCCAUCCCUGCAUCAGAAGUUUCAGUUUGUGGGAAGAUCGUGUCCAUGUCCUUUGUCUCCUCCUUUAGCUGGUUGCAGAGAAGUGUGAAAAGAUUAAGGAGCACAAGAAGUGCAAUUUGAUCUUUUCGAUAAGCCUCGGAAUUUGCAGCACUACUCCUCUCCAGUUGUAACUUCUCAAAUAAUGCUUCUGCUUUGAAAACAACAAUGUUAAGAAGCAAUAGGAGAAUUGAGUUUCUCACCGUGGAUUCUGUGAUCUUCUUGGCCUCAAACAACUGAUGGAGAGAUGCUACCUUGUAGUCCACUUGUUUAAUGAGAGCCAAUGCCUUAUUCCCAUAUUCUGCCUCCCAAUGCGUAAGAUUUUCCAGAAAACGUAUCAAUUUUUUAGGCAUCCAUUGGACAUCACCUUUAACAUGAUUGAGCAGAUCUUUAGUUCGGAAAGUGCUCCCUUGAUUGUUACAGAAAAGCAUUCCCUUGAGGAAAAGCUCCGUCUGAAGAAGAAAAACAUUUAUACGUAGCUCAGAAUGGCCAUGGAUAUGUUGCUCGCCCUUUCGUUCCGUCUGUAAGAGGAAUUCCAGCUCUAUGAGCACCGUAUGAAUUUCUGCAAGGAAAAUUUGUAUAGUCUGAUCCUCUUCCUCCCCCUCCUCCUGUUGCUUCAGUUUGGUGAAGGCUAAAAGCUUUAACAGCCCAUAGAUCUCUCGAGAACAGAUCUCUCGAGUAUCUCUGAUCCUCACUUCAGUGGCAACAUAAUUGCUAUAAUGAGAGGAAAAAUCGGGCUUAACUCCUCCAAUUUUAUGGAGAGCCACAAGGAAAUGAAAAUGGAACUCCAUGAAUUUGGGAUUAGUAGGAUGAAUCUCAUGUUGCAAAUCCACUACAGAUUUAGUUAGCUUAAUCAUUUCUACCGUUUUGGUUUUGCCUUCGGUUUUCCCGCAGUGAAUCCGGUACUUAAGACUGUGGAUUGCAAUGCGCACCAUCACAGAUGCAACACGAGUCACGAAAUCAUUGAUAGCAUUUACAUCAUCACCACCUGCAGCAGCUGCUGCUGGGAAGUCGAGAUUCCUGGAUACACCUUCCAUGUAUUCCCCGAACAAUCUUAGCUCUUUGCGCCAGGCACCGAUUGGCUCGCUCCAUUUUGUAUCGUCCACAAUAUCGGCCAGAGUGGUUACAAAUUGUAGCCAAAAAGAAACAUCAGAUGGUGAUUGCAGUCGACACGACGACCACCCGGAUAAAUCCAAAAGGUGUUCAACAUCUUCUCCAAUCUCUUCCAUCCAUUUGAUGGAUUUACUGUAAUAAUCAUAGAGAGUUUUGCCAUUUACCGGGGAAAGCUUCAUCUGGGCGUUGUUCUUGUUUAUAAUUACAACAUGCCAACCAAUCUCCUCGGCUGCAGCUUCAAUCUUGACUCCCAUAUUAAGCAGCACGCGCUCUGCAUCUUCGUCUCUCAUCAGCUUGUGAAUUGCUUCCGAAAUUAACCUCAAAAGCUUCCAAUCUCCCAAGAUGCGAUCGCGUUGACGCCAGCGUACGCGGUGACUUUUGUUUCCACGCGCAACUGCAUCGAUAAAUUUGCUACUUCCCCGUACAGCAUCCAAGAAAAAAACUAUGAUAUCAAAGCUGGAAAUAGCCAUCUCCAGGUCCAGAAUUUUGAUCUCUUACUCAAGCAUACCAGUUCUGUCUGUCAGACUGAUCUGCAUAAACACAAAUGCUUUUGAUGUAUGUAUUAGGUGAAUAGGUGAUAUCGAGUGGAGGUGAUAUCGAGUGGAGUCGAGUGGAGUGCUCAAUUAUUGAAACAAAUAAACCUAAAAUAGUAAUUAAUUAUUGUAACAAAUAAACUUGAAAUUAUAAUUUGGAUAAUAUUAUUAUAAUAAAUUAAUAUUUAAUAUAAAACUUGAGUGGAGUGCUUGAUUGAUAAAGUUCGAACUCGAGUUGUUAGAGUUCAAAAAUUUUUGGAAAUAAUAGUAUAAUAAUUAAAUAUUUAAUUAUUAUAACAAAUAAAUUUAAAAUUAUAAAUUGAAUAAUAAUAAUAAUAUUUAAUUGAAUACUCGACAGAACUCGUCGAGCUCUUAAGUUUUUUUAAUAGCACCCGAACUUGACUCGAAAAUUCAAUUAAGUAACUUGAACUCGAUCAAUAUCGAGUUCAAUAAAGUAAUUAAACUGAACUGCUAGCGAAUUCGAGUCAAGCUGCUCAAUUAAAUCUCACCCUUAUCCCCAAUGGACCAGGGCCUCACAAUUUGAGGCAAUAUCCACUUCGGACACAUCCGGUCAAGAUCAAAUUGUGAUAAUGAGACAGCCACGAUUUAGUGGGUCGACAGCGCAGUAUCAAUUCGCAUGGGGAAAGAAAAAUCAAAAUUGAGGACUAAUGAAAAGACUAGAACUCAUUGUCCUCUCAUCAGAGAUAGAGGAGAAGAAUCAACGAUGAAGACUACUCAUUUCUGAGAAAUUUCUAACGAAAUCCAACAUAGGGAGAUAAAGUCUCAGACUCUUCAACUUUUUGGGAAGUGAAAUUUUGCAGCCCUACAAGUUCGAGAUUUAUUGAGGCUUUGCUUGUUGGUUCAUAAUUUAACAAAAAAAAAAACAAAAAGUUCUCAUAUCAUCAAAGUAUCAAGUAUGUUCUUGGGUUUUCAGAAUAUUCAUGGAUAUUGGAAAUUUUUUUCUUCGUUUAUUGUAAUUACAAGGGGACACAAAAGGCAUUUGGUUUUUUCCAUUCUUGUGAAGAAAUUCUCGAUAUUUAAUGACUGCUAUAAGAAGAAAAUUAGCAAAAAUGCUAACUCUCUAAUUAUCCAAAUCGAAUGGUAGAUUAGGGCUAUUAUAAUUUCUUGAUUGGCAUUGUUUGAGUUGGUCUUGUUAAAGAAGAAUUUAGAAAUCGUCAUGCCAGUGGUAUGUAUAAGAGUACGUAAAAACACCCUAAAGAAACUUGCCCCUUUUGAUUAUUUACACCAGUAGUCACAACUUUAAGUGCUGGCCAAUCUUGUUACUCUACAACCAUUUGUUGGACAAUGGACAUUGGUUAAUAAAUGGGCCUAAUGCAUAUGCAAACAAACUUAUUAAAGAAGACACACUUGCAAGCUAGAGUUGGCUUGAUAUUAUGCAGGCAUGAUCAAGGAUUCUUAAUUAGGUUCGACAAUUUUGCAAUAAAUUGGGUAAAAUAUCAAAAAACCUCUUGUGAUUUGCCGAGUGUUUAACUUAACUCCUUAUCGUUCGGAAACUUACAUUCUAAGCUCUCAUGGUUUUAACUAAAUUGGAAGGUGGAUAGAAACUGACUAAACUAAUGGUUGCAUCUAAAAUGUCAAAAUUGUCCUUUAUAAAUAAUAAGAUUUAAUGCAAAAAACUAUUUAUGAUCUGUCGAAUGUUCAACAUAACUUUUUAUGAUUUGGAAAUCUAUAUUCUAGCCUCUCGUGGGUUUAACUAAAUUGAAUUCAUUAUAUUAGCCUUCUUCUACUUCAUUCAAACAUUCUUGCUACAGCCAUUUCCCUUACUGGAAGAAUGUAGUUACUAAAGGAAUCAUUAAAAUUGUUUAUCGCGAGAAGCAAGGCUGUAGUUUCCGAAGCACAGAGAGUUAAGAAUACAUAUUAAAGAACUUAUUGAAAUUGUUUAUUACAGGGAGUUAGAAUGUAAGUUCUGAAGUUGUUAAAGCACUCAUUGAGAUUGAUUACUACGAAAGGCUAGAAUAUAGGUUUAUGAAGCAUAGAGAGCUAAGAAUAUAGAUACCAUGUUCAUCAACUAAGGCAUUGCCAAAAAAAAAAAAAAAUCAUGCAAGGUGCCCUUCCAUUGAUAUGCAGGUAUGACAAGUAAUUUUAGGUUAAGAAUUUUGUUUGUUUAGCUGUCUAUGUUUCAAUUGUAUUGUUGAGUACUUCUCUCACAUUCGUAAUUUGAGCAUUUGCACUCCUUUUAGGUGUGUAAAUAUCAUUUUUUAGUUGGCUUGAAAAGGUCUGAAUGUUUGUCACUCUCUGUUGUUCAUUAAUAUACAUUGAUAGUUCGUUGAACUCAAACUCAAGUUUAAAUUUGAUAAAAUUAGAUCGAAUCUCAGCUCGAUUCGAUUAAAAUUCAACUCGACUCGGUUGUAACUCUACCUAGGAGAGUUGUCCUUUAGAUUUAGUGACACUUUGUGUUUCUUGCUUUUAGGAAUGGCUAGGACAGCUUUUGGUAUUUCUCCAUGAUGCCCAAUUGGUAGAUUGCUUGUCAUACAUGAGGAAUCCAAUCUGCUGCCAGCAAUGCUCUCCAGAUAGCUCAAUUCAGCAGAACCCAUCUAGGAUUCGUUGUGGUUAAUUUUAGAUUGCACAAAUUUUGUUACCUCUAACAAUACAAGCCGAUAUGCUUCAAAAAAAAGUCUGAUAAGAAGACCUUUUUUUGGUGUAGUGAAACACUAUUUGCCAUGAUCCUCGUACAUGUAAGCUAGCCGCUCAAAUAUGAAUAUUAUGCUGAGUACUUCAAAAUUGGAACACUUGCUUCAGCGAAUUAGGUGCUAACUUUUGAGUCAAUGGCUGUCAACAUUUGAAGAUAGAGGGAUUGAAUGCAGUACUUCAAGAAACAAAGAAAUGAAUCUGCAUGAUUAGAAUUUCUGUUUGCUUUAAGAGGUAAGAAUUACAGUAGGUAUAAUCUAGAGGACCAACAAAACCAACUUAAACAAACUGAAUUCACCUUUCCAAAGAUCUCAAGCAAUAAUUGAUUGUUGAGUAUCCAGAUUGAGCAAAACAUUCCAUUGCAUGGAAGUUGAAUUAAGAAACACAUCAUCUUACAAAUGAAUCGAGAGAAGAAUAAGUUACUGAAAUUUGAUUAUCUUACAAGUUCGGGGAGUAAUACAACAGAAUCCACAAUCAUACUCUUAUCAUCUCAAAUAUGAACUACUAAUAAGCACUUUGAUGUCCCCAGUUGCUUCCCUGAUUCUUUUUGCAGACUCUUCCGCAGAUUGUCUGCACCAGUGCACUUCAAUCAAUUCCAGUGUGCCUAUGUCUGCAAAAUCAUACGGGAUUUCCUUGAGGUCUUUGCAAUUUUGCAAGACAAGCCGUUCAAGUUUGGGAAGGUGAUCACAAGUAGCAUUCCAUUGAGAAACGUUCAGAUUGUCUAACUUCAAGAAUUUGAGUUCCUUGAACUGAUCUUCCUCCAUGUCCCAUGUCAGCCCCUCAAAGGCAUCAAGAAGUAAUUUGAGAACUUCCAGGUUGGGUAGUCUCCCAAUUGUUGAGAUAUGACUCCAUGGUAGACGAAACUUUGAAAGAGUCAAUUUCCUCAGAUUGGAAGGGAGAAUGAAUUCCCUGGUAAUAGCGCUUCCAUAGUAAGAUACAUUGAGUGACACCAAAUGAGUUAGAAAAUCUAAUCCUGGAAACUGAUAGGAAUUCUUCGAAGAACCCUGUGGAUGAAAGAAUAUGCAUCUCAGUUUCUGGAGAUUUGGCAACCUCUUUAUUAUUGAUUCUGUAUCUUCACUACAAGAGAGAGAGAGAGACAGGAAAGGCUGACCAAAUCACCCAACUUACAGCAGACUUCAAGCCCUUCAUCAUCCAAUGUGAAAGCAACAUGCAUAUUCACAUGAAGAUGCCUCAACCUUGUCAUGUGCCAAAUAGUAUCUGGUAAGACAACCUGACCACGUAAUCCCUUCAAAACAAAAGUUUCUAGUUUUCGGAGAUUGCCUAUGGAUUGUGGAAUAGUUUGCAUAUAACCAGUGAUUGCCAAAUACCUCAAAUGAACCAGGCAUGUAAUGUCAGCAGGGAAGGUGACACCCAGGUUGAUGCAUUCAAAAUCUAACACCCGCAGAAGUUUGAAGUUGUGCCAAAUGAAUGAGAUGUCAUAAGGACACCUGGGCUCUGAAUCAGCUGAAGGAAAGAAUAUCAAAGAACGAGUACCCAGGCCAAAAGGUCUUGAUUUAAAAAAAUGGAGUCGCUUCAAAAAAAAGCACAAUCGGUAGGCUUCAUAUGUGACAGGAUCAGAAUGAUGGCCAAUUUCAAAACCAAAAUCUGAACUAGGAAAAGAUACAUAUGGCUCAUCAAACCUGGUUACUAGCCGGAAGAAGUUCUGUGCUCUGGCUUUUAACUGACAAAAAUCACGUAACAGAUCGUGCAAGCGACAUGAUUUGACCAUUCCGUUGGAUCUUCUUUUGGAGACUUCCACCAGGCUUCUGCUAAUCAACUCCAUCAAGUAACCCUCGGCAAUACCUUCUAAGCUCUUCAACUCAGAGUCAUGAAUGAAACCUUCAGCAAGCCAAAACCGUAUCAACUUGCUAACAGGAAUAUCCUUGUCUUCAAGGAAAACCCCCAAGUAAAGAAAGCACGGUUUUAGAUAUCCCGGCAAGUGUUUGUAACUCAAUUCUAAGAUUUCCAUGCACCGAGCAUUUGGAUCUUCCAUAACUUCAGCAAUCAAGCUUUUUGCAAUUUUACCCCACGAUUCUGAGCUCUCUUCUAUCCUCUGGAGGAGACCAGAUAUUGCAACAACAGCAAGAGGCAAUCCUUUACACUUUUUGGCAAUUUCCUUACCAACUAGCGACAAUUCUUCAGGACAGCCUUCACCAUGGAAUACUUUCUCUACUAAUAAGGUCCAGCUUUCAUAAUCAGAAAAUAAGCGUAGAGAAUGAGGAUCACUAUCUGGUUCAAUUUGCAAGGCCACAUCACGAAGGCGGCUCGUAAUCAAAAUUCUGCUGCCAUUGGCAUCAUCUGGGAACGAAUUUCUUAACUCAUUCCAAACUCCAGCAUCCCACACGUCAUCCAUAACAAUGAGAAACCUGUUUCUUAGUAAGCACUGACGCAAUUUUAAUUGGAGAUCUUCGUUAGUCAUUUGACGAAUUUCAUCCGUAAGCCCGAGAAUGCCACGUAAAAUCUCCAGCAGCAGUUCUCUUUUGUCAUAUUCUUGUGAAACAGUACACCAUGCACGACAAUGAAAGUGAGACAAAACCUUUUGGCAGUUAAACAGUUUCCAAGCCAUUGUUGUCUUGCCAAUACCGGGCAUUCCCACAAGAGAAACAAUGCCAAACUUUGAGGAUCCCUUGACAAGUUGAUCAGUUAUAGAUUGUUCUUCAUCUCUGGGAUCCACCACCAUUCCAUUGAUUGCCGGUGUAGCAUCCCGUGAUAUCACGUUGGGUGGAACCUGGAUGACGUGUUUGUUAUCUAGGACUUUGGCUUGAGGGGUCGUCAACUGAAUUCUAGAGGCUCGCUUAUUAACAAUUCUUAACUCCUCCAGUAGAUCAUAAACCAAAAAGAAACCUUGCCAUUGAGGAUCGACCUCAAUUGAGUCAAUGACAAACUCAAUUUUAUAAGCAAUAUUGGCAACAUGACCACCAAGAACUUUCACUUCUGGAUAGUCAUCAAUCUCCGACUCUGAGACUUUCAUGAGAAAAGAACCCAGAGACUUGAAAUGUAGAUGAAUUUCUUUUAUGUAAUUCCUGACUGGUUCAAUUGACACAGGAUCAUCGUUCAGCAGUUCCUCUAGGUUUCUGAUGAGAAAUUCAACAAACCCUGUCUUGUAAGUCUUGGGAAAAUCAAACAAUGGAAACUGGGGACUAAUCUCUCUGAGCUUAGACUUGAUAGGAUUCAGCUUAUCUUGCAGUUUAGAGGAUGAGAUGAUCAUAUUGUGGAUGGGUCCUGCCAUCCCUGCAUCAAAUGUUUCAGUUUGUGGGAAGAUCAUGUCCGUGUCCUCUGUCUCCUCCUUUAGCUGGUUGCUGAGAAGUGUGAAAAGAUUAAGGAGCACAAGAAGUGCAAUUUGAUCUUUUCGAUGACCCUCGGAAUUUGCACUCUCAAGUUGUAACUUCUCAAAUAAUGCUUCUGCUUUGAAAACAACAAUGUUAAGAAGCAAUAGGAAAAUUGAGUUUCUCACCGUGGAUUCUGUUAUGCUCUUGGCCUCAAACAACUGACGGAGAGAUGCUACCGUGUAGUCCGCUUGUUUAAUGAAAGCCAAGGCCUUGUUCCAAUAUUCUGCCUCCCCAUGCAGAAGAUUUCCCAAAAAACGUAUCCAUAUUUCUGGCAUCCCCUUGAGCAGAUCUUUAUUUCGGAAAGUGCUCCCUUGAAUGUUACAGUGAAGCAUCCCCUUGAGGAAAAGCUCCGUCUGGAGGAGACAAACAUUUAUACGUAGCUCACCCUUUCGUUCCGUCUGUUUGAGGAACUCCCUCUCUAUGAGCACCGUAUGAAUUUCUGCAAGGAAAUUUGGUAUAGUUUGAUCCUCCUCCUCCUCCUGCUUCAGUUUGAUGAAGGCUAAAAGCUUUAACAGCCCAUAGAUCUCCCCAGAAGAGAUCUCCUUAGAAUAGAUCUUUGGAAUAUCUCUGAACCUCAUUUUAGAGGCAACAUAAUUGCUAUAAUGAGACAUAAAGUCGGGCUUAACUCCUCCCAUUUUUCGGAGAGCUACAAGAAAAUGGAGAUGGAAGUCCACGAACUUGGGAUUAGUUGGAUGAAUCUCAUGUUGCAGAGCCAAUACAGAUUUAGUUACCUGCUUCAUUUCCUCCCUUCUGGUUGUGCCUGCUGUUUUCCUGUCGUUAAUCCGUUGCCUAAGAGUGUGGAUUGCAAUGCGUACCAUCACAGAUGCAACACGAGUUACGAAAUCAUUGAUAACAUUUACGUCAUCACCACCUGCUGCUGCCGCUGCUGCUGGGAAAUCGAGAUCACUGGAUACACCUUCCAUGUAUUCCCCGAACAACCUUAGCUCUUUGCGCCAGGCACCGAUUGGCUCGCUCCAUUUUGUAUCGUCCACAAUAUCGGCCAGAGUGGACACAAAUUGUAACCAAAAAGAAACAUCAGAUGGAGAUUGCAGUCGACAAGACGACCACCCGGAUGAAUCCAAAAGGUGUUCAACAUCUUCUCCGAUCUCUUCGAUCCAUUCGAUGGUUUUAUAGUAAUAAUCAUAGAAAGUUUUGGCAUUUACCGAGGAAAGAAACUUUAUCUGGGUGUUGUUCUUGUUUGUAAUUACAACAUGCCUACCAAUCUCCUCGGCUGCAGCUUCAAUCUUGAAUCCCAUAUUAAGCAGCAUGCGCUCUGCAUCUUCAUCUCUCAUCAGCUUGUGAAUUGCUUCCCAAAUUAACCUCAAAAGCUUCCAAUCUUCCAAGAUGCGAUAGCGUUGACGCCAGUGACCUCUGUUUCCACGCCAAAUUCCACCGACCAUUCCAUUAUUUCUCCGUACAACAUCCAAGAAAAAAACUAUGAUAUCAAAGCUGGAAAUAGCCAUCUCCAGGUCCAGAAUUUUGAUCUCUUACUCGAGCAUACCAGUUCUGUCUGUCAGACUGAUCUGGUAAACACAAAUGCUUUUGAUGUAUGUAUUAGGUGAAAGUUUCACCGUGAAAUGCUAUCCAUGCUUGGCUGAAAUACUCGAGCUCGAUCGAGCAUUUGAUGUUGAACUUGAGUUCGACUCGAUCGAGUGCUCUGUUGACAGAGUUCGACUUGUUAGAGUUCAAAAAAAUUUGGAAUAUAAUAAUAUAAUAAUUAAAUAUUUAAUUAUCGUAACAAAUAAACCUAAAAUAGUAAUUAAUUAUUUUAACAAAUAAACCUAAAGUUAAAAUUUGGAUAACAAUAAUAUAACAAAUAAAUAUUUAACAUAAAACUUGAGUGGAGUGCUCUAUUCACAAAGCUCGAACUCGAUUUGUUAGAGCUUAAAAAAUUUUGAAAAUAAUAAAAUAAUAAUUAAAUAUUUAAUUAUUGUAACAAAUAAACCUAAAAUUGUAAUUUGGAUAAUAAUAAAAUAAUAAUUAAAUAUUUAAUUGAAUACUCAAUAGAAUUCGUCCAGCCUUCAAGUCUUCGUUAUUAUUAAUAUUCGAAUUUGAUUUGAAAACUUAAUUAGGUAACUUGAACUCGAUUCAAACUCGAUCGAUAUUGAUCGAAUUCAAUGGAGCAAUUAAUCGAGCUGCUAGCGAGCUCGAGUCAAGCUGCUCAAUUAAAUCUUACCCUUAUCCCCAAUGGACGAGGGCCUCACAAUUUGAGGCAAUAUCCAAUUCGGACAAAUCCGGUCAAGAUCAAAUUGUGAUAACGAGACAGCCACGAUUUACUAUUUAGUGGGUCGACAGCGCAGUAUCAAUUCGCAUGGGGAGGGAAAAAUCAAAAUUGAGGGCUAAUGAAAAGACCUCGUUUGUAGAAUUCAUUGUCCUCUCAUUAGACAUAGAGGUGAAGAAUCAAAGAUGAAGACUACUCAUAGCUAAGAAAUUAUCCAACAUAGGGAGAUAAAGUCUCAGAUUCUUCAACUUUUUGGGAAGUGAAAUUUUGCAGUCCUAACAAAUUCGAGAUUUAUUGAGGCUUUGCUUGUUGGUUCAUAAUUUAACUAAAAAAAUUUUUUCUCAUAUCAUCAAAGUAUCAAGUAUGUUCUUGGGUUUUCAGAAAAUUCAUGGAUAUUGGAAAUUUUUUUCUUCGUUUAUUGUAAUUACAAGGGGACACAAAAGGCAUUUGUUUUUUUCCAUACAUGUGAAGAAUUCUCAAUACUUAAUGACUGCUAUAAGAAGAAAAUUAGCAAAAAUCCUAACUCUCUAAUUAUCCAAAUCGAAUGGUAGAACUGUUAUGAGUUCGCCCAGUGAAAACAUUUUGAUCGUGAUGUGAAUUGCUUUUAGAUACAAAACUUUGGAAGAAACUUGUUCGUUGCUUUAUUCGAUUUUGGUUAGCUUAUAAGUAGUUGUUGGGCUUGGGCAUUCACACCACUGGUUAUCAUUUAUGCACGCAACUGCUCUGGCCGCCAACAUUUCACGAUAGAGAAAUAAUCUGCAGUUCUGUAAGAAACACUGAUAUUGAUAUCUGAAACCGGAAUUUCAAUUUGCUAAAUGCAGUUAAAGAGUUUUACUAGAUAUAUUCUCGAGUAUGAAAACCAGCUUAAAGCAAAACGAAAUCAAUUUUCUAAAGAUCUAAAACAAAAAUCUAGCAGAUUACUUUAAAGCCAACCAAAAUCUGCAUGAUUAGAAUUUCAGUUUGCUUCAGUAGGUAUAAUCUAGAGGACCAACAAAACCAACUUAAACAAAUUGAAUUCACCUUUCCAAAGAUCUCAAGCAAUAAUUGAUAGUUGAGUAUCCAGAUUGAGCAAAACAUUCCAUUGCAUGGAAGUUGAAUUAAGAAACACAUCAUCUCACAAAUGAAUCGAGAGAAGACUAAGUUACUGAAAUUUGAUUAUCUUACAAGUUCGGGGAGUAAUACAACAGAAUCCACAAUCAUACUAUGAACUACUAAUAAGAACUUUGAUGUCCCCAGUUGCUUCCCUGAUUCUUUUUGCAGACUCUUCUGCAGAUUGUCUGCACCAGUGCACUUCAAUCACUUCCAGUGUACCUAUGUCUGCAAAAUCAUUCGGGAUUUCCUCGAGGUCUUUGCAAUUUUGCAAGACAAGCCGUUCAAGUUUGGGAAGGUGAUCACAAGUAGCAUUCCAUUGACAGAUGUUCAGAUUGUCUAACUUCAAGAAUUUAAGUUCCUUGAAGUGUUCUUCCUCCAUGUCCCAUAUCAGCCCCUUAAAGGCACCAAGAAGUAAUUUGAGAACUUCCAGGUUGGGCAGUCUCCCAAUUGUUGAGAUGCGGCUCCAUGGUAGGUGGAAGUUUGAAAGAGUCAAUUCCCUCAGAUUUGGUGGGAGAACGAAUUCACUGGUGAUUGCUCUCCCAACGUAAAAUACAUUGAGUGACAUUAAACGAGUUAGAGAAUCCAGUUUUGGAAACUGACCACAAUUCUGGGAAGAAUCCCGUGGGUGAAAGAAUAUGCAUUUCAGUUUACGAAGAUUUGGCAACCUCUUCAUUAUGUUCUCUGUAUCUUCACCACAAGAAAGAGAGAGACGUGAAAAGCUAACCAAAUUUCCCAACUCACAGCAGCCGCCAAACUCCUUAUCACCCAACUUGAAAGCAACAUGCAUGUUCACAUGAAGAUGCCUCAAACUUGCCAUGCUCCACAUAUUGUCUGGUAAGACAACCUGACCACGUAACCCCUUCACAACAAAAGUUUCCAAUUUUCGGAGAUUGGCUAUGGAUUGUGGAAUAGAACGCAUAUACCCACUAACCGCCAAAUACCUCAAAUGAACCAAUAGUCCUAUUUCAACAGGAAAGGUAAUACCAAUGUUGAUCAUUUCAAAAUCCAACGUGCGCAGAAGUUUGAAGUUGUGACAAAUGAGUGAGAUGUUGUAAGGACAUCUAGGCUCUGAAUCAGUUGAGGGAAAGAAUAUUAUAGAACGGGUGCCCAGCCCAAAAGGCACUGAUUCAAAAAAAUGAACUCGCUUCAAAAAUAUGCACAACCGAUAGGAUUCAUAUGUUACGUGAUCAGAAUAAUGGCCAAAAUCGAAUUCAAAACCAAAAUCUGAGCUGGGAAAAGAAGCAUAUGGCUCAUCAGACCUGGUUAUUAACUUGAAAAAGUUCUCUUCUUUGGCUUUUAACUGACAAAAAUCACGUAACAGAUCAUGCAAGCGACAUGAUUUGACCGUUCCGUUGGAUCUUCUUUUGGAGACUUCCACCAGGCUUCUGCUAAUCAACUCCAUCAAGUAACCCUCGGCAAUACCUUCUAAGCUCUUCAACUCAGAGUCAUGAAUGAAACCUUCAGCAAGCCAAAACCGUAUCAACUUGCUAACAGGAAUAUCCUUGUCUUCAAGGAAAACUCCCAAGUAAAGAAAGCACGGUUUUAGAUAUCCCGGUAAGUGUUUGUAACUCAAUUCUAAGAUUUCCAUGCACCGAGCUUUUGGAUCUUCCAUAACUUCAGCAAUCAAGCUUUUUGCAAUUUUCCCCCACGAUUCUGUGCUCCUUUCGAUCCUUUGGAGGAGACCAGAUAUUGCAACAACAGCAAGAGGCAAUCCUUUACACUUUUUGGCAAUUUCCUUACCAACUAGCAACAAUUCUUCAGGACAACCUUCACCAUGGAAAACUUUCCCUACUAACAAGUUCCAACUUUCAUCAUCAGAAAAUAAGCGUAGAGAAUGAGGAUCACUAUCUGGUUCAAUUUGCAAGGCCACAUCACGAAGGCGGCUUGUAAUCAAAAUUCUGCUUCCAUUGGCUUCAUCUGGGAAUGAAUUUCUUAACUCAUUCCAAACUCCAUCAUCCCACACGUCAUCCAUAACAAUGAGAAACCUGUUUCUUAGUAAGCACUGAUGCAAUUUUAAUUGGAGAUCUUCGUUAGUCAUUUGACGAAUUUCAUCCGUAAGCCCGAGAAUGCCACGUAAAAUCUCCAGCAACAGUUCUCUUUUCUCAUAUACUUGUGAAACAGUACACCAUGCAUGACAAUGAAAGUAAUACAUAACAUUUGGAUGGUUAAACACUUUCCAAGCCAGAGUUGUCUUACCAAUACCAGGCAUUCCAAUAAUGGAAACAAUGCCACGCCGUGGGGAUCCUUUGAUGAGUUGAUCAAUCACAUAUUGUUCUUCAUCUCUGAGAUCGACCACCAUUUCAUUGAUUGCUGCCCGUGACAUCAUGUUGGGUGGAACCUGGAUGAUGUGUUUGCUACUUAGGACUCUGGCAUCCGAGGUUGUCAACUGAAUACUAGAGGCUUGUUUACUAACAAUCCUUAACUCCUCUAGCAGAUCAUAAACCAAAAAGAAGUGCUGCCAUUGAGCAUCAACCUCAAUUGAGUCAAUAACAUGCUCAAUUUUAUAUGCUAUAUUGGCAGCAUGAACACCAAAAUCUUUCAGUUCUGGAUUGUCCUCAAUAUCCGACUCCGAAACUUUCAUGAGAAAGGAACCCAAUGACUCGAAAUGUAGAUGAAUCUCUUUUAUGUAAUUCCUGACUUGUUCAAUUGAUGCAGGAUCAUAUUUCAGCAGCUCCUUUAGGUUUCUGACGAGGAAAUCAAUGAACCCUGGCAUGUAAGUCUUGGGAAUAUCAGAAAAUGGAAAUUGGGGACUUAGCUCUCUAAGCUUUGCCCUGAGAUGAUUCUGCUUAUCUAGCAGCUGAGAAGAUGACAUGAUCAUAUUGAUGAUGGGUCCUGUCAUCCCUGCAUCAAAAGUUUCAGUUUGUGGGAAGAUCAAGUCCAUGUCCUGUGUCUCCUUCUUUAGCUGGUUGCAGAGAAGUGUGAAAAGAUUAAGCCGCGCGAGUAGUGCAAUUUGAUCUUUCCGAUAAGCCACGGAAUUUGCUGCCCUACUACUCUCAAUUGAUAACUUCUUAAAUGAGGCUUCUGCUUUGAAAGCAACAAUGUUAAGAAGCAAUAGCAGAGUUGAGUUCCUCACCGUGGGUUCUGUUAUCUUCUCGGCCUCAAAUAACUGAUGGAGAGAUGCGACCUUGUGGUCCACUUGUUGAAUGAGAGCCGCGGUCUUAUUCCCAUAUUCUGCAUUAUACUCUGCCUUUCCAUGAGGAUGUUCUCCCAAACAUUUUAUCAAUUCUUUUGUCAUCCGAUCAGCAUCAUCUUUAGCACGAUUGAGCAGAUCUUUAAUUUGGAAAGUGCUCCCUUGAAUGUUAGGGUGAAGCAUCCCCUUGAGGAAAAGCUCCGUCAGGAGAAGACAAACAUUUAUACGCAGCUCAGAAGGUCUAGGCUCAGCUUUUAGCAGCGUCUGUUUGAGAGAUCCCGUCUCCAUGAGCACCGAAUGAACUUCUGCAAAGAAAAUUGGCACCGUUUGAUCCUCUUCUUCCUCGUCCUCCUCCAGUUUGGUGAAGACUAAAAGCUUUAACCGCUCAUAGAUAACUCGAUAAUAGUUGUCUCCAAGAUCUCCGAUCCUCACUCUAGGGACAACAUAAUAGCGAUAACGAAAGCAAAAAUUGGGCUCAACUCCUCCAAUUUUAUGGAGAGCUACAAGGAAAUGGAGAUGGAACUCCAUGAAUCCGGGAUUAGUAGGAUCAAUCUCAUGUUGCAAAUUCACUAGAGGUUUUGUUAGAUUAAUGAUUUCUUCCUCUUUGAUUCGGUCAUUCGUUUUUCUGCAGUAAAUCUGGCACUUAAAAGUGUGGAUUGCAGUGCGUACCACCACAGAUGCAACACGAGUCACGAAAUCAUUGAUAAUAUUUACAUCAUCACCACUUGCUCCUGCUGCUGCUGCUGCUGGGAAGUCGAGAUCCCUGAAUACAUCUUCCAUGUAAUUCCGGAUCAAGCGUAGCUCUGCCACCAGGGCAUUGACUGGGUCGCCCAACCGCAUACUCGCCACAAUCCCGGCUACAGUGGCUAAAAAUUUUAACCAAAAAGAAACAUCGGAUGGUGAUUUCAGUCGACACGACGACCUCCCGGAUAAAACCAAAAGAUGUUCAACAGCUUCUCCGAUCUCUUCGAUCACAUUGCAGGUUUUCUUGUAAUAAUCUUGGAGAAUUUCGUCGUCCACCAGGGAUAGCACUUCCCGGCCAAUCUCCUGGGCUGCAGCUUCGAUCUUGAAUCCCAUAUUAAGCAGCACCCGCUCUGCAUGUUCAUCUCUCACCAGCUUGUGAAUUGCUUCCCAAAUAAACCUCAAAAACUCCCAAUCAGAGAUUCUUUCACGUACGAAUGCACCACCAAUCGGUAACUUACGCAAGAAAAAACCUAUGAUAUCCCAGCUGGGAAUAUCCAUUUCCAGAUCCAGAAUUUUGAUCUCUUACUUGAGCAAGCAUACCAAGAUCUGUCUAUCAGACUGGUCUGUCUGUGUAAACGAGAAAUUCUUCUAAUGGAGUAGCAGCUAUGCAAGAGACUCCCCGACGCAUCGGGGGCCUCACAAUUUGAGGCACUUUCCAUUUCAAACAAUUUCACGGCCAAGAUUAGAUUACUGUAAUGGGACGGUCAGGAUGGGGCCACGACAUGGUUUUUAGUUGAGCCCCACAAAACAGUACCGUUUCGUGUCCGACAAAGAAAAGUGAAAAUUAAGGACUAAUAGCAUGACCGCAUUUGGAGAACACGUAGUUGGGAUUUUGGACCCUUCCGCUUACUGUAUUCAAAAAAAAAAAAAAACUCUAUAAAAUUUUUAAUGAAACCCAACAUAGAGAAAUAAGGUCCCAACUUCUUCAACAUUUUGGAAAGUGAAAAUUUAUGCGAUCCUACAAAUUCCAGAUUUAUUGAAGUUUUGCUUGUUAGUCUUUUUUUUUUUUUUUCUUUCAGUAUAAAUAGAAAGUUUGAAUUGAAAAUCUUUCCCUCACGCUCUUUCGUUUGAAAUUAUCUAAUUCAACUCUCCUCCUUCCGAAUCACCACCGCUCUACAUGUUGGUUGAUAAUUAAAAAAAUUUUUUUUCCUCAUAUCAUGAAAGUAUCAAGUAUGUCCUUGGAUUUUUAGAAUAUUCAUAGAUAUUGGAAUCUUUUUUGUCUUUGUUUGUUGUAAUUACAAGGGGAUACAAAAGGCAUUUGCUUUUUUCCAUACUUGUGCAGAAAUUCUCAAUAUCUAAUGACUGCUAUAAGAAGAAAAUUAGCAAUAAUCAUAACUCUCUAAUCAUCCAAAUCGAAUUGGUAGAUUAGGGCUGUUAUAAUUUCUUAAUUGGCAAAUAAAACUUUUGGUUUGAAUUAGUCUUGUUCAAGAACAAUUUAGAAAUCGUUAUGCCAGAACAAUUUAGAAAUCGUCAUGGCAGUGUUGUGUGUAAGAGUAUGUAAAAACACUUUAAAGAAAAAUUUUCCGUUUUGAUCAUUAUUUAGCUGCUGUAAAUAUAUUUGAUUUUUGAAUAAUUGCAAAACAAUGGAUGGCUGAGUUGUUAUGAGUUAGCCGAUUGAAAACAUUUUGAUCAUAUAAUGUGAAUUACUUUUAGAGACAAAACUUUGGAAGAAACUUGUUUAUUGCUAAUCCGAUUUUGGCUAGUUAAUAAGUAGUUGCUGGACAUUCACAUCACUGAUUAUCGUUUAUACAUUUAAGAGUGAAUUCAAUAUUGAUGUCUUUAGCUUACAACCAAUUGCAGGAGAUUAACCAAUUGCAGGAGAUUUGCAAGUUGAUUACUAUUAUUACAAGUUGUAAACCAUUAUUACUUUGGUUGGUUUGCAAGCAAUUCUUGGACAUUCAAAUUAGCUGAUGCUGUUUUGACACCCAAGUGUUAAAGGCAUUAUUUGGUUGGUUUACAAGCAAUUCCAUGUAGGUUUUGAUAAUACAAGAUUAACGAGGGUGAUAAUUGUUUUUGCAAUACGGGGGAUGAACAGCAUUGGGAAGCAGAUAAUGGAUAUUCAAUGAUUUUUUUUUAUAUGAAUGAUGUAAAUUAAUUGUGAAACAUAAGACAUCCUGUGACAGCCCCACCUUCCGCUAAGGCGAACCAAAGGGUUCGGCGGACUGCCUGUCAAACUCUCAUCAGGACUACGGAGUCGAAUCACACCAACCCUAUAUCACGCGCAAUAGAACCCAAAGAAAACAAACAAUUGGAGACCACCAAGAUAAAAUAUAACUUACCAAACCAUACGGUGAUACGGAACUUCAAUGAAACACCUCAACGAAAGGAAAACGAACGAAAAUGGCCACGUCACAAUCCGGCCGGAAGUUGGCCGGAUUAAAGGCAGUGGCUAACCCAAAAUUUUUCAAAUGCCGCGCUCGCCCGAUCGUCCAACGGUUACAAGAAACAUUCACCAAAGCCAUAGAAGAAUAACAUCUCAAAGGAAUACACUUAAAAAAAAAAAAAACAAGGUUAAAUACUUAUUACAUUGGAGUCUUGAACAAAUUAACUAAAGUACAAGCCAAAGUAUUCAUACUGUUCAAAAUACAAUUAGGGUUUCGGUUGCAAAAGAGCUUAACAAAAUAACCUAUACACUAGCUCGACCCUUUCUUCCAAAACCAUGAUUUCAAAGUUUGUCCCCUGUAAGGAAAACAAAAAUAACGGGAAGAGGGUGAGGUUACACUCAAUGAGGUACCAAAAUAAUAACAGUCAAGAAUCAUGGAACUUCAUGUUCAAUUAGUCACAUGUGCAUAUCAAAUAGGAAAAUAAACAAACACUUUAGAUAGAAAGGAUACAGGUGGUUCUCGGGAGCCCAAAGUUCCCAUUGCAUUAUUUGAUCCAAACCCGUUGACUCUCCGUCAACGUAUAAAGAAUAACCCUAUCCGUAGACCCCACUUUACACCAAAUUUUGUCCACCAAACAUACCCCUUACCGGGCCAGAACACCUCAACAGAAACAGAAGUGGUAAUACUCGAAUAUACUGAAAUUCCAGAGUCUCCAAUACCCAAAAACUUUCCAGAAACAGACUACCGUAACUCGUUAUCUAAUCGACCAGACCCUUGCCGGCUCGACUCGAGUAACUAACCACAGGUUUUGAACUCAAAAAUCACAGAAGGGUCGUGGGAUACAAGCCUCCAGACAACGUCAGUACAGACUCAGAUACAGAUAACAGAUUCAAGUAUACAUAGUAAAUAGGCAUACAGAACAAGAGAAUGAGUGUGAUAAAGUACACCCUCGUCUCGAACAGAAUAAACAGAUAGUACAGUCAUUCAAAUCAUAGAUUUCAUGUACAGAAAUCCAAUUAAGCAAUAAAUGAGGGGAGUGGUACACUCACCAAUUCGAGCAAAAAUAACUUCAAGGGUUCCCUCCCAAAGUAUGCUUUAAUCACCAAGAAACCCUAAAAUAACCAAGGCAAAACAGUUAUGAUUUCCACAUCCACAAACUCAGGGAACGGAUUACACAAUUUAGGCUCGACUCCGAGUCAUAUGCCUAACCAAGUUUAAUUACUACUGCAAGGAUACAAAAAUGUGAUUUUGGACGAAAAGGUAGCAUAAGGACCUAGGAACACUAACAACCCAAAAGCCCCUUCAUUUCUACCAAGAAUCCACUCACACUUGAAGGAGCCAACUUCCCCCAAAAAAUUGGACAGCAUUUCCUUUAAAUUUUCUUACUUUUCCAUCCUACAAUCCACACCAAAUUUGAUUUCAAACCAACCACAAUUGCACAUACGAUUCAUAGGCAAUAAAACACAUCUAAUAGGGCCACAAUACCCAUCAAUUUGAGCCAAUUAAUAGCUCCAAAAUCAAUCACAAUUGAGCUCCACAUUCAUCAAAGAUAGUUUCCGUGCUCAAGUCCAAGCCUUAGGUUACAAAUAUCAUGUCAAACAAAGGAAAUUCUAUAAAUAUCAAGUUUCACGCACCUUUCGGCAUGAUAACCACAACUAAAGCUACACUUAUCGGAUUGAGACGAAUCUUAUGUCGUUUCGAAGCCAAGACAUAUACUUACAUUUAUUAUGAAGACCUCUAAAGCCAAAUCAUGCAUUUUCAUGGUCAAAAAUCGAAAUCUCAGAGAGAACAGAAAACUGUCCGUGAAACAAGGCUUGUGGCCAGUCAAGGGUAUUUUGGUCAUUUCACAAGCUACAGUACUCUGAUUGAACUGAAAUUUUACCAGUAGUUAGCUAACUCAAUUACCUACAACUUUCAUGUUUUGAGCAAGGGCUGAUUUGGCCUCCCUCAAGGAUGAACAUACAGUGCAAAACCAGGACAGAUUACUACAAAUGGAAACCCUAAGCUGGAAUUUUACUCCACAAGCUGAAACUUUCCGUAGACAACCAAAAUUAGCAUAGAUUAGCUUCAUUUUACACAUAACAAAGCUAUCAUUCCAUGACCAAUCAUUAAUCAUCACAUGAGGGUAGAAAAAUCUCCAAUAAAUCUGAAAUUUACCAAACCCUAACUCAAGCCAUGAACUUUCUCACAAAACUACCUAUUUAACAACUAUAAUCCACUAAUAUGCAAUUAUUAAAAGUAAAGAGGGAUUUUCUUGGCAAGUUACCUUAUACCCACAAGAAAGAUGGUAGCUUAGGCUUCUUCCUCCCAAAAUAGCUCCACAAACACCUUGGAAACUACCUUAACUAGCACUUUUAUGGAGUAGUUUGCGAUUUAAUCGGUUAGAACUCAAGAUUUGGACAAGAAAUUGAAGUGGAAGAUGAAGAACUCUCUUGGUUUUUCUCUCAAUAUUUUCGGCCAAAGGAGACAAGAAAGUGAAGCAAUUUUUGGUCAAAAAUCUGAUUUUAGUAAAGUUAAUAACCUUGGUCAAAAAUCCAACUUCCAAUGAUUUUGUGACAAAUGACACCUUAGGGUUCAAAUCUCAUCCUUUUGUCUACCAAUCAUUAAUCUAUCUAGCUAACCUCUAACUAUCUUCUAACACCUUGUACAGUAAUAUCCCUUUAUACAAAACUUCAACUAAUCAUCAAAAAUUUAUCGCACUUAGCACACUAGUGGGUCACGCGCCAAUAAUACACUUCAAACUUAACAUGAACUAUCUUAUACUAGGAAAAUGAGUUAAAAACUAUACUCACUCAUAAAAAUCUUUGGAAAAUUGAUAUAGUAAAAUAAAGUAAAGAAAAUGCAUGCAAAAUAAAUAAAAUAAUAUAAUAUAAACUAAAAAAAUUUUACGGGUCCUCACACAUCCAUUUACCAUGGAUUUGGAGCCCUCCGGUUUAAAUCAGUUGUGAAUAUCUAACAACAUUUGGUGUGAACUCGUAUAAUUUCAGUGAAAUUAUAAUUUUUUUACACAAAUUUAGUUGUAUAAAUCACGAGCUCAAGUUUUACACUAAAGUUGUAUGAAUUUAUACCAAAUACAAUAGUAAUUACACAACUAAUUUGAAUUGGAUAACAACUCAAUUUGUAAAGUCUCGAAUCCUGUUUACCAGUACAAGGAUAUGGUUCUUUUGGUUAACGUUAAAUUGUAAGUUGUUGACAUUCAAAAGAGGAACUAGAUGGUGGCACUGGAGCAAUGUAGAUGAAUCUUUUUUGUUACACUUGCAAGUUUAAAACCCAAAAGAUGUGCAGUCUGAACCAAAUUGUCUCGAAGAGAAGAUCGGCAAACUAAACCUACUAGGAAAAAAAAAAAAGAAUUAUUCUAACAAGUAUCCAAUAGAUACUCAUUAAUACAGUCAAAUUGCAUUCAAUCUACCAUAUCAAUGUAUAUAUUAACAAUUAUUACCUUCUCUUACAUUUUGACACUUUCCCUGUUAAUAUUACUUUAACAAUUAUUAUCAUCCCUUAUGUUUAUAUACUUUUUCUAAUUAACUUUACUUUUCAAAAAAAUUUAAUGCCUAAAAUAUAUAUUAAUGAGUGCCCCGUUAGACAAAAUAAAAAAUAAAUAUUUAAUGGAAUACAAAAGUAUGAUUUAAUGGACAAAAAGUUAACUGAAUCACAACUAAACCACUUUAAAAAAGUUUUUUCACUUUUGUAACUUCCCCAUUAUCUGUAGAGUGAUAAGGGAAAAGUAUCAUAAUAUGUGUGCUAAGUAGGUAUCUAUACAAUAAUAAAGGAAGAAAGGUGGGAGUUGGGGUAAACAUUUUGCGUCAUUUUUUAAACUUUCAAUUGCCCUGAAAAUAUUAAUUUUUACCUUAACCACCUAAUCACAUUUGCUAAUAUAAUCUCUCAUAACUCCCAAUGAUAAUGAUAAAUUAAUUUUUUUUGUUAUAAUUGGAAAGUCUCGAACCCGACAUCUCACAUAACUCUCUUAAAUAUUGUAACUACCAAAUUAAUUAUGACUGUAUUAAAGAAAAAAAUUACUGAAGAAUUUAUAUAAAAUUUAAAGUUUGUAAAAAUAAAAAUAAUAUAUUCAUAAAAAUUAAUAAUUAUUUCUAAACUGCACACGCAUUGGGUGCUUUCUUAAUAAGAAGUGUAUAACUUCUAUCAAAUUAUUAUGAAGGGAAUGAAUUAUGAUUAUGCAUUAAAUCAUGCACGAAAAUGUACUAGUCUCUGUAUUGAAUGUAAUCACGCAAAGUAUGUAAUUACUUUUAACCAUGAUUGUACAGAACUUUCUCCUUCAUUAUUAAAUUGCCUUUUCAAUACUUUCCCAAAAAUAUAUUCCUUGGUUUUUUGUUAAAUAACAUGCCGCCUUGGUCCAUCCCAUCCCAACUUUAGCCUUUUCUUUUUCUUUCUUUUCCUUCCAUCAAUAAUUCCCAACUCUAGCUUAAAGCCGCACUAAUUUUCAAAGGAAAAUGAUAUUCAGUCCGAUCGGAUCAAGCCGUCCAGCAGGCAUGAAAUUAUGAAAUUGUAACUUUUAAGGCUUGAAGAGGACAUGCUGGCCGUGGUAGCUGGAAAGAGGAACAACUAAACUAUACUCUUGUAAGCAUUUCGUUAAAUUUUCGAUGGUAUACUACAAAGAAAAUUAUGUUGUCAAUUUCUCAGGAACGUGAAAAGCAGCAUGAGGCAAAUCUUUUUAGAUGUCUGGAUCAGAUAAUUGCAUCAUCUGUAAAACCCUGGAUUUUUGGGACUCAUUUUCAUUAUCUUGCCCAAUUAAAUUAAAUGGUAAUUUACCCUUGGUAAAAGCAAAAAUAAUUGCAGGUUAGGUUAAAGGGUUAAUUGAGGGAUAGGAUGGGAUAAGAAAGGGUAAUAGUUUACAACAGUUAAAACUCAUAUCUAAAUCACCUACUAGUGGGUGGUUAUUAGGGUUUAGCAUACCUAUCAGAACAACAAAGAGAAAAAAAAAUAACAUCUCUCCUACCUUUCAUUAUCUGCCUCCCCUAGAGCAAAAGCUGUCAGAGAGUAGAGAAGGAGAAGCAAGCGACACCGUCAAUCGAUCAGACGACUAGGCCCCUAAACCUGUAAGUCCUAAAUUCAUGUGAAACUUCUCUUUUAAGUUCUAUUAGUCGGAUUAAUUAUUCUAAAGAUUUUACGGAUAUGUAUUAUGUUAUAUAUGGAGAUAUAUGCUUGUAUAUGAGAUUUAGGAGGAUUCGUAUCUGAAUUAGUAGGAUUAAGGUAUUAAAUUUUUAUUAUGGGAUGAAUACGAUUUACCGAAAUCUAUUGGAAAGUUAUUAUGAAAAAAAAAAAGAAGAAAAGUUGUUGAAGCCAAGCUUCAACGAUGCAAAAAAAAAAAAAAAGGAGAAUAGUCUCCAGCAAGUGGCUGGCGACAUGGAUCAAGUAGGAAAGGUUGGCCGAAAAAAAAAAAAAAAAAAAAAAAAAGAGUCGCCAGCAAGUGCUGGCGACAGAGACAAUUAACAAAGGUUGGCCAAAAGGUAAAGGAAAAGAAAAAUAGCGGAAGUAGGGUCCCCUCUUUUCACUAGCUAAAGAAGGAAAAAAUAUAUAUAUAUAUAUUAUGAAUAAAAGAAAAUCGUAAUAAAAAUAAUUUAAAAAAUAUAUAUAUAUAUGGCAAGUAUACUUGGGUCAAAAUAUAAUACAGGUUUAGUGAAUGUUCAGAAGAUAAAUUUUAAAUAUAACUAACUCACCUUUAUAACUUAUCAUGGGUAUUAAAUUUCAAAACCCAAGCUAAAAAUAAUUUUUAGAGUUGCAAGAUUUAGUCAUCUAAGUUUAUACUUAAUUGAUUAAGUCUAAAAUAAUUAAAUAGAAAUCUAAAAUAUCUUAAUCUAACCUUACUAGAUCAAUUUGUACAAUGUAGCAUAAGUCCUAAAUUGUUGGACGAAACGUGUAAAAUCGUAAUAAUGAUAAUAAUAAUAAUGAUACUAAUGAUAACACUAAUAGUAAUAAUAAUAAUAAUAACAAUAAUAGUAAUAAUAAUAACAACAUAGAUAUAGGUGAAGUAAAUUAAAGAUAUAAACAAAAAUUAAAUGAAAAUAUAAAUACAAGUGGAAUAAACUAAGACAAUAAUUAUAAUAAUAAAUCAAUAAAUACACAUAUAGACAUAAAUAAUAAUAACAUCUACACAUGCACAAAAAAAUGGAAGUAAAGCAAAGGAUAAUAGUAACUAAUUUACAAAUAUAUAUAAAUGGUUACAAAAUAAAGUAGCGAUGACGAGGACGACAAUAAUAAUAAUGAAUAAUUAUAAAUUAUAGAUAUGUAUAAUAAGAUAAUAGUCAAGAUAAUAAACAUGAUUAGGAAUAAUUACUUUCUUUUAAAAUUAUAAAACUUUACAAAAAGACGAACUUUCCAAAUUAAGAAACUUUCUAAAAAUAGAAACUUUCUAAAAAUGGAAAUCGUCCAAUUUAGGGGAAAUGCUGUUAGGGUUCAUACAAUGGUCUAAACAUGAAUCUUCGACUUACUCAGAGUUCGUAUAUUAUGUAUUUAUAGGAAGUAACAAAUUAGGAAGUCUAUGCAUUUGAUAUGUACGGUACCAGUUUAAGAGACCUAAGGUAGUUCCACUCGAGCAGCCAGAUGAAGGUAGAUGGUACUUACCCUUCUGAGAUUUCAAAGGUGCAAAAAUGAAAGUUUUGUUUCAAUCUUAUUUUGUUGUGUUGACUCGAAAUAUAUUUGAUUAAAUGCUUUACUUGGAUAUUUGUGAAGGUUAUAUUUUUACUAUAUAAAAAUGGACCAUGUGACUUAUUUGAAAUGUUUUGAUAUGUUAUUAUAUACCAAACGAGUUGAAUCUUUUAUGAAAUCAAAGAUUUAUGUAUAUGACGUGUGGAAUGAAUUUUUGACAAGUAAAGCUCAAAACAGUUAUGGAAUAGAUGAUAGGGGUUAUAAUCCUGUCUAAUCGUCAUGGUAGCCUGGUAUAAAGUUCGGCCGAUUGACAAGAUCAUGGUAGCCUGGUAUAGAGUUCGGCCGAUUGACAAAGCCAUGGUAGCCUGGUAUAAAGUCUGGCCGAUUGGCAAGGUCAUGGUAGCCUGGUAUAAAGUCCGGUCGACUGACCCAUGUAUGAAAGAGGCCAAUCGGUAGUCAUGAAACCUAUUGGUCGCCCACCUAGAAGGGGUUUAAUCUCUAGAUUGAGUACUCAGUAGCCGGUCAUCACAUGUACUUGUUAUGAGCUAAUAUGAAAUGAUUUAUGAGUUAAUAUGAAAUGAUUUAUGAACUGAUGUAAAAUGAGACUUAUGAAUGGAUUUAUGAACUGAUAUGGAAUGACUUAUGAAUGGAUAUGAAGAGACUUGUGAAUUGAGACGAAACGAUUUAUGAUUGAAUGAUUUUCCACGUUCAUUUAUCAAUAAGAUGCUUUUAAAUUGCUUGCCACUUGUUACUACUGAUCGUUUUAUAAACGAUGUUACUUUCAAAAUUAUGGAUGUGAUCGACACACGCAAAGGAUUUGAUUUCUAUCUAUAUAUAUGUAUCUGAUAGAGCCGUUAUUUGGCACGUUUUGCAGUGUUAUUUUGUCCUAAUUUUGGCUAUUUACUGUGCUAAGUACUGAGGUUUAACUUAUAUUUCAUAUUUGUAUGAAUUAUAGGUGGCCGGCAUUAAAAAUGAUCUCUUGAGGCAAAUUUACAGAAGAUCCUUCAUCUCAGAGCGUGGCCACGCCUUAAAAGGUAGACGUUACCGAAAAGUCGGACCCUGGUCCACGUGAACCGCGAGGAGCAUGGGAUUAAAACUCCAAAAGGCUAGCUUUUGCUUCAAUCAAUUGGGUCAGACGUGACUUGGCUCCUGGUGGCUUCAAUUAAAAAGAAACUCCAAUGAGAAUGAGGAAAUUAGGUCCACAUGGACCAGCUACGCGGGAUAAAAACUCCAAUGAAGAGAAGAGCUUUGCUCCGCGUGAAUUUCCCCUGCGGCGCUAUAUAAGACAACAAGAAAAGGGACCCGGGGGGUGCUACUUUUAGCUUUAGAUUUACUUCUGCAAGAUUUGUGAGACGUUUGCUUUUUCUUUCUUUCUUCCCUACGGGAGUUUGAGUUUUUCCUUUUCCCAGGCGCUAGACGUCCUUGCCCCUUUUGACUUUUCAUUGGAUAAUUUCUGCGUAGCUUUUGGCUUGUACUGGCGGCUUCAACACGAAGCCAGAACCACGCGAGCUUCAUCGUGAGAGCUUUUGUCUCUUCUUAGUAGAUAAUUUAACUUGCGGCUUUGGCUUUGCGUUACUUUAUUUCCUCCAACCUCUUCGGCAAUUAAUUGAAUGAAUUCAAUUAAAUCACGUGGGAUCGACACGAUAUGGAGCGGCUAAUUUUCUCCUCUACCCAAAGGUUGACGCGAAGGCGCCGUCUAUAAUAUCUGUGAGAUCUAAUCGAAUCUUCAUUAUUUCUUUCAAUUUAUUGCUAUUCGUGCGUUUCCUGAAUUAAUUGUUCAUGGGUAUUGUAUUAAUUGAAUAUCAACGGUCGGGUAUUUGAUUUAAUUUAAUAGCCUACUGCCACGUUAAUUAAAUAGAAUCCGUAAUUGUUCAUUUAGUUAACACCCCGUGGCAACCACCAUAAUUGGCUUUAUGAUGGGGAAACGCAAGAUCUAGCUUAAAUAAACCCUCUUAGCGUGUUUAUUGGUUAGGGUUGGGUUCUUCUAGCUUUAAUGCAAUUGGGUAAUUAAAUUCCUAUGGUCGUACCUAGGGUUGUUAUCUGGUUAGGGAAGCAGUUAAUGGUCGUACCUUAACUGUCGAAAAAGUAAAGAAGAACUGGUUGUCAGAGCUUAUUGAUAACUAUAACCAACCUAGUGAUGAAUGGAUGAAAUACCUUUGGAUCGAUGAGCAUUUAAUUGGACCGUGCCUGAGCAGUUGAAUCUUUGGGUAGAAUUUUAUUAAUUGCUAUUUUUAGUGAAUUGUGCUUUGUGAGUUGGUUUUGAAUUUAGUUCGCUUUAUUUUUAUUUUAAUUGUUUGCCUCCCAUUGAAAAUCCCCCAAUUCCAUUCUACUAAUUUGGAAAGAAAUAAUUUCCUACCCGCUCCCUGUGAAAUCGAUCCUACUUGCCAUUGUACACAAAAGUAAUACUCUUACAAACUAAUCUGGUAUAUCGGAUCAAGCAAACUCUUCGGGAAUAUGGUGAAUCAAGUAACCUAUUGCACACCUAGGGUCCCUGCUCCAGUAUUUGGAUUUGUUCUAUAAUUAUUUGUGGUGGUAAUUAGAACUUUUUAGUAAUUAUUAUUGCACAGGUUCGGCACCUGUCAAUUUUUGGCGCCGUUGCCGGGGAGUUGGCGUUUGGAUUAUUUGUUUCUUUUCAAAUUCAGUAUUUAUUUUAUUUUUAUUUUAUUCUAUUCUUCUUGGUAUUUUUGCUAGUUUAUGCCCCAUUCUUCUCGCACAGGUGAAUUAGUAUACGAUCAUGAGGUUGAGAAGGCAGCGCGUAGGCGGAGGCAAGAGACCAAGAGACGAAAAGAAGGGCCCUUAUUUAUUGCAAACGAGUCGGUAGAAGACGAAGUAAGCAUGGCCAACACCCAAACAUUAAAGGAGCUGGCUGCCCCGGAGCUGAUUCACCAGCCCUUAUGCAUCACAUUCCCCACUCUGGCUGAGAAUACUGCUUUCGAACUGAAGUCGGGGCUGAUUCACCUCUUACCUUCUUUCCAUGGUCUCUCUGGUGAAGAACGCCACAAGCACGUUAAGGAGUUCGAGGUGGUUUGCUCUAGUAUGAAACCUCCUGAGGUCACUGAAGAGCAAAUUAGACUGAGAGUCUUUCCGUUCUCUCUCAUGGAUGCAGCUAAAGAUUGGCUGUACUACCUACCAGCAUGUAGUAUUAUCACAUGGGCACAGUUGAAGAAGAAGUUUUUGGAAAAAUUCUUCCCUGCAUCCAGGGCUGCGAGUUUGAGGAAGGAAAUCUGCAGCAUUAAACAGUAUUCCGGGGAGUUCUUGUAUGAAUAUUGGGAAAGAUUUAACAAGUUGUGCACUAGAUGCCCGCAGUAUCAAAUUAGUGAACAACUGUUAAUCCAAUACUUCUAUAAAGGACUCCAAUCAACUGAUAGGAGUAUCAUUGACGCUGCGAGUGGGAGAGCACUGGCAAACAAGACACCAAAGGAAGCAUGGGAGCUUAUUGAAGCUAGGGCAGAGAAUUCUCAACAGUUUGGCUUCCGUGAGAGUAACCCUACCCGCAGGGUUAAUGAGGUGGAGUCAACAUCUAUUCAGCAACAGUUAUCGGAGCUCACAUCCGUUGUUCGACAAUUAGCUGUGGGGAAUGUGCCCCAAGUAAAGGCCUGUGGAAUCUGCACAAAUAUGGCCCACCAUACUGACUCAUGCCCUAUGUUGCAAGAAGAUGGGGCUGAACAAGUGAACAUGGCUGGAGGCGUGCCCGCGCUUCGUAGACCGUACGACCCAUACUCCAACACGUACAAUCCGGGUUGGAGAGAUCACCCGAAUUUCAGCUAUGGUAAUAGGCCACAAAAUGCAUUCUCCAAUCAUCCACAAGGAUUUCAGCAACUUUGGCAACAGAAGUCUCAGCCCUCGCCCUCUAACUCAGGAAGUUCUUUGGAGGAAAUUGUCAAGAGUUUGACUACGACCACCACUCAACUCCAGCAGGAGACUAGGACAUUAGUCACGACUACUGCCCAACUCCAGCAAGAGACUAGGUCCUUAGUCGCGAGCACCACCCAGUUCCAACAGGAUACCAAAGCGGGCAUGAAAGACAUGGAGACUCGCAUGAGUCAGAUGGCAACCGCCAUUAAUCGCCUGGAGUCCCACGUCUAUGGGAAACUGCCAUCGCAACCUGAGGCAAAUCCCAAAAAUGUGAGUGCAAUGACAUUAAGGAGUGGCAAGGAAGUGGAGGGGCCAAGGGUCACGGACUUGAAAAGUAAAAGUGAAGACAAGAUCGAAAAGGAGAUAGAGGAAGAAGGACACAUUCGUGGAGGUCCUGGGGUAACUCUUACACCAUCAUUACCCGUUAAAUCUACUUUACCCCCUUUCCCAUGCAGGUUGGCAAAGACGAAGAAGGCAGAGAAGGAAAAAGAGAUCCUGGACGUGUUCAAAAAAGUGGAGAUCAACAUCCCCUUGUUGGAAGCAAUUAAGCAGGUGUCGAAGUACGCGAAAUUUCUCAAGGAUCUAUGCACCCAUAAAAGGAAAUUGAGAGGGGAUGAAAGAGUGGUGGUGGGAGAAAACGUGUCAGCCAUGCUCCAAAGAAAGUUCCCACCCAAGUGUGGAGAUCCAUGUAUGUUCACGAUCCCCUGUAAGAUAGGGAAUACACCGAUUAGAAAAGCAAUGUUAGAUUUAGGAGCGUCAAUCAAUGUGAUGCCAAAGACCAUUUUUGCUUCUUUAAAUCUUGGGCCACUUAAAGAAACAGCCAUCAUAAUCCAACUAGCUGAUUGCACAAAUGCAUAUCCAGAGGGGCUAGUUGAAGAUGUUCUGGUUCAGGUAAAUGAAUUAGUUUUUCCUGCAUAUUUUUAUAUCUUGGACAUGGGAGAUGAAAAAUCAUUAAACCCGUCACCUAUCUUGUUAGGUAGACCGUUUCUUAGCACUGCCAGGACUAAGAUAGAUGUGAAUGAGGGUACUUUGUCAAUGGAAUUUGAUGGUGAAACUGUGAAUUUCAAUAUUUUUGAGGCGAUGAAGUAUCCAGAAGAAUCUAACUCGGUCUUUGCUUUGAGCGUUAUUGAGCCUUUUGUGCAGGAAACUUUCGAAUUAGAUGGCAAAGACGCAUUGGAAGUGGCUCUAAUCAAGCAUCUGGAGUUGGGUGUAACUCUUGAUGUGGACCUAAGGGAAGAUUUGCUCCAUGCUGUUGAGGCCUUACAUUCACUACUCACCGUAUCCCCAAGGUAUGAACUUACUUCUCUUUUUGUGCCAGAAACUCAGACGAAGUUGCUUCUUUCAGUUGUGCAGGCACCGGAGUUAGACUAAAGCCUCUCCCGAAGCAUCUAAAGUACGCAUUCCUAGGAGACCGGGAGACACUUCCGGUGAUCAUCUCUGCACACCUAUCUCCAAGUCAAGAGGACAGACUGGUACGAAUCCUUAGGGAGCAUAAGGAGGUAAUUGGGUGGAGCAUAGCCGAUAUUAAAGGGAUUAACCCGUCCUUGUGUAUGCACCGGAUAAGACUCGAGGAUGAUGCAAAGCCGGUGAGGCAAGCACAGCGAAGAUUGAACCCUCUGAUGAUGGAAGUUGUGAAAAAGGAGAUACUCAAGCUUCUGGAGGUAGGGAUCAUUUUCGCUAUUUCGGAUAGUCCGUGAGUGAGUCCUGUCCAAGUGGUCCCGAAGAAGGCGGGAGUGACCGUGAAGGAGAACCAGGAGGGUGAUAUGGUCCCGGUCAGGAGAGCUACUGGGUGGCGUCAGUGCAUCAACUACCGGAGGCUAAAUUCUGUGACUAAAAAGAAUCAUUUUCUCCUCCCUUUUAUUGAUCAGAUGGUAGAACGGUUGGCGGGUCGUGUUUACUAUUAUUUUUUGGAUGACUUUUCAGGUUACUUUCAGAUCGCGAUCGCACCGGAAGAUCAGGAAAAGACUACCUUCACAUGCCCAUUUGGUACGUUUGCCUACCGCCGGAUGCCUUUCGGCCUCUGCAAUGCUCCAGCAACCUUUCAACGGUGUAUGGUAAGUAUUUUCUCUCAGUAUGUGGAAAAAAUAAUUGAGGUGUUCAUGGAUGAUUUUAGUGUAUACGGGGACAGUUUUGAUGAAUGCCUUGAGAAUCUGGCUCUAAUUCUGAAAAGAUGCAUAGAGACGAAUUUGGUGUUUAAUUGGGAAAAAUGUCACUUUAUGGUAGAUCAUGGCAUUAUCUUAGGACACGUUGUGUCGGCUAAGGGAAUAGAGGUAGAUAAAGCUAAAAUAGACCUUAUUUCUGCUCUACCUUACCCCGUAUGUGUACGGGAAGUGCGUUCAUUUUUGGGUCAUGCAGGAUUUUACAGGAGGUUUAUCAAAGACUUCUCAAAGAUAGGAGCACCCCUGUUCAAGUUACUGCAAAAGGACGUGCCAUUUGAUUUCACGAAUGAAUGUAAGGUGGCUUUUGAUAAAUUGAAGGAGUCGUUGACAUCGCCGCCUGUCAUUCAACCACCAGAUUGGAGCGUUCCGUUUGAAAUCAUGUGCGACGCGAGUGACUAUGCCGUGGGGGCCGUUUUGGGGCAAAGAAUUGGAAGAGUGCCACACGCGAUCUACUACACGUCGAGAGCAUUAAGUGGAGCCCAACUUAAUUACUCCACGACGGAAAAAGAAUUACUAGCUGUUAUUUUUGCACUAGAAAAAUUUAGGUCAUAUUUAUUGGGUGCAAAAGUAAUUGUUUUCUCUGAUCAUGCAGCUUUGAGGUACUUGCUGGCGAAAAAAGAUGCAAAAUCGAGGCUGAUUAGGUGGAUCCUGCUCCUACAGGAAUUCGAUCUAGAGAUCAAGGACAAGAGCGGAGCCGAAAAUUUGGUGGCUGACCAUUUAAGCCGGUUGCUCACAAAUCAAGAAGAUCUACCGUUGAGAGAAUCAUUUCCCGAGGAGCAACUUUUAGCCAUUAAUUCGUCGGCACCAUGGUAUGCUGAUAUUGUCAAUUUUUUGGUAGCAAACCAAUUACCUGCAGAUUGGCCAAAGGCUAGAAGAGAUAAAUUAAAAAGUGACGCCAAGCACUAUAUUUGGGAUGACCCCUACCUGUGGAGGCAAUGCUCGGACCAAGUGAUAAGAAGGUGUGUAAGUGCAUGUGAGUUUUAUUCUAUUUUGACUUUCUGUCAUUUAUUUGCAUGUGGAGGGCAUUGUGGUCCAAAGCGGACGGCUCGUAAAGUGUUAGAAAGUGGUUUUUAUUGGCCUACUCUUUUUAAGGAUGCAUAUUUGUUCUGCAAAUCUUGUGAUAAGUGUCAAAGGGUGAGGAAUAUCUCUCGUAGAGACCAAAUGAGUCAAACCCCCAUAUUAUUUGUUGAAAUUUUUUAUAUUCGUCUUUUGGUUUCUUGUACAUUAUACUUGCUGUUGACUAUGUUUCCAAAUGGGUGGAGGCAAAAGCCACCCGGACUAAUGAUUCUAGAGUAGUCGCAAAUUUUAUAAGAUCUAACAUUUUUGUCCGUUUCGGAAUGCCGAGAGCUAUAGUGAGUGACAGGGGCACCCAUUUCUGCAAUAAGACAAUCACUGCAUUGUUUCGUAAGUAUGGUGUGCUCCAUAAAUUGUCCACUCCAUAUCAUCCACAAACGAAUGGGCAGGCCGAAGUGUCGAAUAGGGAGGUCAAGUCAAUUUUAGAGAAGAUGGUGCGGCCUGAUAGGAAAAACUGGAGUCUGAAAUUGGAAGAUGCUCUCUGGGCCUACCGCACCGCAUAUAAAACACUAAUUGGGAUGUCCCCAUACAUGUUAGUUUUUGGGAAGCCCUGCCACCUCCCGGUGGAAUUUGAACACAGAGCAUUCUGGGCGCUUAAGGGGUGUAAUAUGGACCUUAUGGAGGCCGGGGGACACAGAAAGUUCCAAUUACAAGAGUUGGAAGAGCUAAGGAAUGAAGCCUAUGAGAACGCUGCAAUAUAUAAGGAGAAGAGUAAAAUUUUUCAUGACCAACAAAUGUCGAGAAAGUCGUUUGUCAUAGGGCAAAAGGUCCUACUUUAUCACUCGAGACUUAAGCUUUUUCCUGGUAAGUUGCGUUCCCGUUGGAUUGGUCCAUUUGUUGUUACUAAUAUUUCUCAUUAUGGUGCAGUGGAAAUCCAAAAUCUGAAGACGGAGAAAAGGUUCGUAGUCAAUGGUCACCGUCUAAAACCUUAUUAUGAAGGGUUUAAUAGUGAGCAAGUGGAGGUUCUAUUCCUUGAUAAUCCAAGUGGUGAAAUCUAAACAGUUGAAGGCCAUGUCUAGCCAAAGACGUUAAAGAAAGGCGCUGCUUGGGAGGCAACCCAAGGAUUACAAUAUUUGUUGUGAUCAUUCUUCAUUACUCUGCAAUUUUUCAGUUUCCUUUUAAUGUUUUGAUUGUUUUUGUGGUGUUGGACAGAAGAAUAGGGGUUCCAAGGCGUGCCCACGCCUUGGAAAGGUUGCGCCAGGUGCCCUGAGCAAAUUGGAGACUAGCAGCUCCAAGGUGUGCCCACGCCCUGACAGAAAUUCGUUUGGACAUCAUUUAGAUACUGUGGUCAGAAUACCAUGCCCUCCAAGGCGUGCCCACGCCUUCCAACCCCUCCGAUAGCGAAAGUAAAAAAUAAAAAAAAAAAAUUUUUGACCCAGACCCUCCUUUUUCACUUUGUCUUCUUCUUUGCUUAGUCCUGCCCAGUACCUCUGUCUAAGUUUUUCCCCGCUGAAGUUUCUUUUGUUGUUGUCUUAGUAGCCAUUUCACUUCCUUCUCCCCUUGUGUUGUUGGUCGUCCUUCGCCGUGCGCCGCCUCUGCUAGCCGCCGCCGCCGCUGCCUUCCACCAGCAGUCUGCCGCCGCCCCCGAGGUCCAGCAGCUCCGCAGCGAGCAGCCUGCACGGCGUCAGAUUCGCGGCCGCAGCAGAUCCGCAGCCUCCGCACCACGCGCGACAGGAGCGCACCGCAAGCUUCUCCUAGCAGCGCGCCUGUGCGCCAAACCCCCUGUGCGCCAAACCCCCUGCGCGCCUGCUCCCUUUCCUCUGCUGCUCCACCCUAAGCCCAGCAACGCGCGCCUGCCGCGCGCGACCUCCAGCGCGCAACCCUCGCGCGCGCGGACAGUAACCGCGCCCACCCCACCGCGCGCUCCACAGCGCCUCGCCAGUCGCACAGCACCAGAUCUGCGCAGCCCGCCUGCGCGGCCUUCCUCACAGCCGCGUGCCACCAGCUCUCCCUCUCCUCAAUUUUUCGUCCCAACAGGGGCCAGGAAAAAGUGGUACCCCUAUUUGCCUCUCUUGUUGAAUUGGUGACUUCGAUUGGGAAUUUUAAUUGCUAAAUUUUCGCUUCCUUCGGGGUUAACAAAAAAUUUAUUCGGGUAAUUGGAGGGACCGUUUGAUUGUUGUCUGAAAGUGGGAGACCUAACACCUGCCUUUCUUUGAUUAUCUAUUUUGGGACAUCUGUGGGCUCUGGUUAAUUUAUAUUUUAAUUCAAGUGGUUAGUUCAUCGUUGAUUGUUGCCUGUUAUUGACUGAUAUCUUGAUUUGAGGGGAGUUGGAUCGGUCUUGUUUAUUGUUGUCGGCUAAUUGGCGGCAGUGGGACAUUGGUUGAUGUUUGUUGUCUAGUUGUUGUUUAGUGGGGUAAUUGUGUCCCCCUUUGCUGUUGAGCUGCUGAGUAUUUAGUAAUUUUGGUUGACUGUGGUCCCCUAUCUGCUUUUGGUGGUUGGUUGGCUAUCUUUGAGCUGAUUUACUCUGUCUGUGGUCCCUGAAUGCCUCCUAAAAAGGCAACCACUGCUGGGCCGUCUGGGUCCCAGCCUCGCAAGAGGCGAGCCCCGGUUCAACCCCUCAUUCGGUCCCGUCUGGGCCUGAAUAAGAGCACUAUGUCUCCUGGGGGAGGGGGGAAACGGUCAUUAAUCUUACACCGGCACAAGUGGAGCGGUUUAAUAACUUGGCACACCGUCCUUUUACUCCUUGUAAGUACUUCCAUGCCCCAACCUUGGACCAUUUGCGAAUUGCACGGGAAGUUGAACAGUUGUUCUCGGCCAUAGGUUGGCAAAAAUAUCUAAUCAUUAACUACCAUACGUUUGAGGAGCUGUGUUGUGAAUUCUACUCCACUUUCGAGUUUAACAGAAAUGAAUUCAUCACUUUGGAUGAGCCGGAGGUCAUUAAUUUCAGAUUGGGAGGUACUCAGUUUGGUAUGUCCAUUAAUGAGUUUAAUCUGACUUUGGGGUUUGUUAGUGAGGACACCAUUGCCUCCGGGGCAUAUAUAAACAGUGCGUGUGACUACACCAGACCGUUCUCUACUGACUACAUUGACAUUUGGAGGGAGUGGUCCACGGAUCGUCAGGUUUACAAUCCGAGUCAGUCGAAGGCUUCCCAUCUGAAGGAUCCGGUCUUGAAGGUUAUCCACAGGUUCUUAGCUCACAAUUUCUCGGGGCGAAAGGAUACCUCCAGCACGCUUACCAAAGUGGAAUUUUAUUUUCUUUGGUGCAUGCGCAACAGGGUUCAGGUUAACUUUGGAUGUUGGGUGGCCACCCAGAUGGAAACGGUCAUGCAAAAGCGUAAUAAGCCGGUGAUUCUGGGUUCACUCAUUACUCACUUGGCCAUUCGAGUGGGAGUGCUUGAUCUGGACAAGGGGCACAACUACGCUCUAGCUCGAGAAAUUGAACCCCUGGAUUUGCGUAGCUUGGAGCGAAUGGGGGUUAUUUUCAAAGUGGGCGAUAUCUAUCAGUUUAUGCCCCCUGGCGAGGGCGGGGCACAGCCCCGGGUUCCUCCGACUGCCCCAUCCACUGAGCCUCAACCGCAUCCGGAUCAGGCGGGCCCGUCCUCCUCUCAUGCUCCCCCUGACUGGGAACCCCAAUUUCACUCUCUCUAGAGGUCUAUCCAUGCACUAGGAGGGCGAGUUGAGGGAAUAGAAGACCGGCUUCGAGCACUACAAGUCUUCGCCCGUAUUCAGACAGAGAAUCAAGCGACUUUCUAUGCUCAUAUUGGCUUCCAGCCGCCGCAUCCACCGCCUCCUUAGGCUCCAGCCGCACCUUUUCAGUAGUCAGGGAAGUUUUCGCUCCCUCUGUCCUUACAAUUUAUUUUUUCUGGGUUACAUUGAGGACAAUGUAGGUUUUAGGUGGGGGGAGUGGCUUCCAUUAGUUCUUUUUCAUUAGUUCUUUCUCUUUUUCAUUAGUUCUUUUUGCUUUGUUACUCAAAAAAAAAACAUGGGAUGAAUGAAAAAAAAAGGGAAAAUGAAAAACAUUGUAGUUAGUCGGCUUUUUGGUUUAUUUCUAUGCUUGUUAGUGUUGGGUCAUGUUGCUGUGAUGAAUGACACAAUCAAAGUGAGUGGGUAUGUGGUCAAAUAUGCGAGCCGUGCAUUUUGUUUCCCUUGACAAUGUCGUUGAAUGUUGAAUAUGUUGGAAUUGACCCAUUCUUGUAACUUUUGGGGAGCUUUUGAGCCUUGCUUGAGCAUAUUAUUCUUGUUUGCUCUAUUUUUGGUUGAUUGAGUGGGUAUCGCACAUGGUAUUGGCAUUCUAGAACUUGCUAUUUUAUACAUGUCGAGACCACAUUUUGUUGAACUGGAUGCAUUUGAAAUGAUAAGGGCAUUUAGGAUUUAACCCUCUUUAGCUAUCUAAAACCAAGCCCUCAUCUUAUUUCCCAAUAGUGAACCAGUUUGAGCUUUUAUCCUUCGCUUUUGGUUGUUAUCCGUGUUUGUUAACCCGAGACCUCUUUAAACUCUCUUGUUUAUCCCUGUGUUGUCAAGGGAUGGCUGAAAUCCAUCAUUUGUGCAAAGCAAACAAAAUUUGGGGUUGCAAGUGUUGUUAGAUUGGGAGCUAUAUGAUGCUAUCCUUGUAUAAAGAGGGAGAAAUUGGAAAAAGGCCACUAACCAGAAGACUUUGUCUUACAGGGCGUGCCCACGCCUUGCAGGACUUUCUCCCUUAAAAAAAAAAAAUUCUGAGGAGACCUCGUGAGCAGAGGACUAUGGGCUAUAAGGCGUGCCCCCGUCUUGCGAGCCGUUUACUGCAAAAAAAAAAAAAAAAAGGGCACUUGCACAGUGUGUACAGCAAAUGAAAAUUGCCUUGUUUGUGAUACUCCUCCGGUAAAGCACUGUGGUUAUUGGUGAGUUUCGGACAUUCUCUUGACACUUUACCCCCUAUAUGUACCUUCUUACCUCGCCUCUCACCUGAGCCCCAUUAUUACAACCUGUCCGGUGUGUUCUAAUUUCGGCGAUAUUGUCAGGGAUCUGAGGUGCUUGUGUCAGUAUAGCUUAUUGCAUGACCUUUGCUCUCUCGGUUGCACUUCUGAGCUCCGAAAUGCUUGAGGGCAAGCAUUGUCUAGGUGUGGGGGGAUUUGAUAGAGCCGUUAUUUGGCACGUUUUGCAAUGUUAUUUUGUCAUAAUUUUGGCUAUUUACUGUGCUAAGUACUGAGGUUUAACUUAUAUUUCAUAUUUGUAUGAAUUAUAGGUGGCCGGCAUUAAAAAUGAUCUCUUGAGGCAAAUUUACAGAAGAUCUUUCGUCUCAGAGCGUGGCCACGCCUUAAAAGGUAGACGUUAUCGAAAAGCCGGACCCUGGUCCACGUGAACCGCGAGGAGCAUGGGAUUAAAACUCCAAAAGGCUAGCUUUUGUUUCAAUCAAUUGGGUCAGAUGUGACUUGGCUCCUGGCGGCUUCAAUUAAAAAGAAACUCCAAUGAGAAUGAGGAAAUUAGGUCCACAUGGACCAGCUAUGCGGGAUAAAAACUCCAAUGAAGAGAAGAGCUUUGCUCCGCGUGGAUUUCCCCUGCGGCGCUAUAUAAGACAACAAGAAAAGGGACCCGGGGGGCGCUACUUUUAGCUUUAGAUUUACUUCUGCAAGAUUUGUGAGACGUUUGCUUUUUCUUUCUUUCUUCCCUACGGGAGUUUGAGUUUUUCCUUUUCCCAGGCGCUAGACGUCCUUGCCCCUUUUGACUUUUCACUGGAUAAUUUCUGCGUAGCUUUUGGCUUGUACUGGCGGCUUCAACACGAAGCCAGAACCACGCGAGCUUCAUCGUGAGAGCUUUUGUCUCUUCUUAGUAGAUAAUUUGACUUGCGGCUUUGGCUCUGCGUUACUUUAUUUCCUCCAUCCUCUUCGGCAAUUAAUUGAAUGAAUUCAAUUAAAUCACGCGGGAUUGACACGAUGAGGAGCGGCUAAUUUUCUCCUCUACCCAAAGGUUGACGCGAAGGCGCGGUCCAUAAUAUCUGUGAGAUCUAAUCGAAUCUUCAUUAUUUCUUCCAAUUUAUUGCUAUUCGUACGUUUUCUGAAUUAAUUGUUCAUGGGUAUUGUAUUAAUUGAAUAUCAAUGGCCGGGUAUUUGAUUUAAUUUAAUAGCCUACUGCCACGUUAAUUAAAUAGAAUCCGUAAUUGUUCAUUUAGUUAACACCCCAUGGCAACCACCAUAAUUGGCUUUAUGAUGGGAAAACGCAAGAUCUAGCUUAAAUAAACCCUCUUAGCGUGUUUAUUGGUUAGGGUUGGGUUCUUAUAGUUUUAAUGCAAUUGGGUAAUUAAAUUCCUAUGGUCGUACCUGGGGUUGUUAUCUGGUUAGGGAAGCAGUUAAUGGUCGUACCUUGACUGUCGAAAAAGUAAGGAAGAAUUGGUUGUCAGAGCUUAUUGAUAACUAUAACCAACCUAGUGAUGAAUGGAUGAAAUACCUUUGCAUCGAUGAGCAUUUAAUUGGACCGUGCCUGAGCAGUUGAACCUUUGGGUAGAAUUUUAUUAAUUGCUAUUUUUAGUGAAUUGUGCUUUGUGAGUUGGUUUUGAAUUUAGUUCGCUUUAUUUUUAUUCUUAUUUUUAUUUUAAUUGUUUGCCUCCCAUUGAAAAUCCCCCAAUUCCAUUCUACUAAUUUGGAAAGAAAUAAUUUCCUACCCGCUCCCUGUGGAAUCGACCCUACUUGCCAUUGUACACAAAAGUAAUACUCUUAUGGACUAAUCUGGUAUAUCGGAUCAAGCAAACUCUUCGGGAAUAUGGUGAAUCAAGUAACCUAUUGCACACUUAGGGUCCCUGCUCCAGUACUUGGAUUUGUUCUAUAAUUAUUUGUGGUGGUAAUUAGGACUUUUUAGUAAUUAUUAUUGCACAGGUUCGGCACCUGUCAGUAUCUGUAAAAAUUACGAGUACAUGGUCCAACAGAGGAGUAGAUAUUACUUACUGAGCGAUUUGUCGCUUAACCCACUUUUUACCAUUCUUGCAGAUUUGAAAAAGUAUGAGUUGGUUACGUAGAGGACCCCGAGGAUGACUUUUAUUAGCUUUAAAGGAAUAGAAGUUGGCAGGCUAGCUACUUCUAGUUAUCGGUCUUAUUUAUUUUCGAUUCCGUUGUUUCCAUUAGAAAAUAAAUGUACGAACGUAUUGGAUAUUCGCAGACUACCUUUUAUAUGAGAUUUGUACCGCACUUUAUUUUAGUUAUAUUAUUUCGUACUUUUGAAGUUUAGACUAGUUAAAUUAUGCCUUGUAUUCUUGAACGGAAUUCGAGAAUAUGGCGGAUGCCACGUGACAAGCACGUGCGGGUUCGGGGCGUGACAUCAUCAAUGCAGAUCAACAACAUGAAAUGCUAUUCUCUUAGAGUCCGUUUGAAUUGCUAUUCUCUGAAGUUUUUGUUGAAAAAUAUACUGUAGUGAUUUAAUGUAUGUGAGAUAAAAAGAUAAUUAGAAAAUAUAUUCGUGGAAAACGUAAAAAUUUUGUGAAGAAAAAUAGCAAUCCAAAAUUAUGAGUUCAAGCAAAAGAUUUCACUUUUGACAGCCAACAAUGAUUAAGACAAAUUUUCAUGGAUUCUAUUUUUACCCCAGUGAGUUCUUGAGAAGUAAAAUUUAACAUAUACUAGUUUUGUAACUUAAUAGAAAUAGCAUGUAAAAAUCGAAAAGCCUCUUGCUUCAACUAUUUAGUUUUCUUGUGACUUAUUAUAGUUUGUUAAUUAUAAGCUAAAAAAGUUGUAUAGAGAGCCUUUUCAAUAAAAUGAAAAUCUUAAUUUGCCUAAGAUAGUUAUGUUACUUAUUUUUCUUCUGUAUAUAAUUUUAACACCUAUAGAAGCAAGAACUAUUUAUUUUCUCAACAAUUCUUAACAAAUCAAAAUUUUUAAUUUGCUUAAAGUAGUUGUGUUACUUAUUUUGACUGUCGAUCGCAUUUUAACACUUAAAAGCACUUACUUUUUUGUUUCCUCACAAACUAUUCUGAUCACCUCCUUCACCCAUCCUCUGAAGCAAACCAUUUAAUGAUUUCCAGUGUGUCAUUCUAUAUUAUAUUAUUCAUUCGACAGUUGUACUCUUUUUUUUUGGGAGAUAGUUAUAUUAUUUUUACUUAUUCAGUGAAUAUUAUUUCCAUGUCUUAAAUUUAGGGGAAAUUAACAGAUAAAAAUAAUCUACGCUGUUCUUGCCACCAAUGAAAUUAAUCCUUAGCUCCACCACUGGAACCACCAAAUAAAAUUGAUGUGAAUUUCACCAAUAAUGAGAGUUUCACCAAAUAAAAUUUGGGCUUUGUUUAUUUGUGCCUCAGUAAGUGUUCUCUGUACUUCGAAGAAAAUGGCUAGUGCUGAUUAUUGAUCUAAACAGGGAUUUUGAAAACUUAAAUGAGAACAAAGGUGGAGGUCAUGGAUGAUAUUAAAGGUGGAAAUUUGGUCCAGGACGACCGAACUAUUGCAUGUUCUUCAUGGUGCUGAAUCGGUAGAUUGCUUGCCAUGUUUGUCCAACAUGAUGAAUUCAAUCUGCCGCUAGUCAUAUCUCCUCAACUAUUAAAACAGAUAUCAUCUUACAGAUGAAUCAGUAAAGAAUGAGUUUCUGAAACGUUAUUGUCUUGACUAGUUCAUGGAAGAGUACAACAUAAUCCACAAUCAAACUUGAUGAUCUCAGAUACGAACUACUAAUAAGGACUUUGGUAUCCCCAGUUGCUUCAGCAAUUCUUUGUGCAGACCCUUCUACAGAUUGUCUGCACCAGUGCACUUCAAUCACUUCCAGUGUACCUGUGUCUGCAAAAUCAUAGGGGAUUUCCAAAGAUCUCAAGCAAUAAUCGAUAGUUGGGUAUCCAGAUUGAGCAAAACAUUCCAUUGCAUCAAUUAGUUGGAAGUUGAAUUAAGAAACACAUCAUCUCACAAAUGAAUCGAGAGAAGAACAAGUUACUGAAAUUUGAUUAUCUUACAAGUUCGGGGAGUAAUACAACAGAAUCCACAAUCAUACUCUUGACAGGUGCCGAACCUGUGCAAUAAUAAGUACCUACUCGAGAAAAAUACAGAUUUUGUAUAUAGCGGUGAGUAGGGUCGAAUCCACAGGGACCGGGGAUAAUUCGUUUCUUCUAGAGUCCAAGGUAUGGGGGGUUUUGGAUUAAAUGCUAACUAAAUAAAUUAAAUGCAGAAAAUAAAUAAAAGAAAUAAUUAUUGGAGAAACUCUAGCCAAGGGUACACUUCAGACAUGGUUCAGGCACUGAUCAUUGAUUCACAGAUAAUUCCACAUUUAUUAAUAGAUUAGUUAUAGUUGUCAUGCACGCGAUAAACAACCAACCCUUCCUUAAUUUCUCGAUAGCUAAGGUACGACCGUCAACUAUUUCUCUAACCAAAAAACAACCCUAGGUACGACCGUAGGAUUUAAUUUCUAGAUUGCAUUAAUAAUUAGAAAGGCCCAAUCCUAACUAACAAACACGCUACGAGGGUUUGUUUAAGUUAGAUCGUAUGUUCCCCUGACGUAAACCCAAUUACGCCAGUUGCUACUGAGAUAAAGAUAACGAACAAUUACGGAUUCAAUUAUCCCUAUUUAGCAAAAUAGCCUAUGUGAAUAAUUAAAUAUUGCGCAUCUAUUCAAUCACUCACACGAGCUAUAGCAAUUAAAAGCAGGAAACAUAUAAAUACCAAUAAAUUAAGGAAGCAAUUAAAAUAAAUUAGAUCUCACAGUAAUUGUUGAACCAAGUCUUCAGUUGUCCCCUUGACUAGAAUUAAGAGGUUAGUCCUCCAUUAAUGGAGAACAACCAUGCGAAAGAACUAAGAAAAGAAAAACUAAAACUAUGCUAAAAGCCUAAAUUAAAAACUAUUGAUUGAUAAAAGUUCUCUGUACGUUUCCCCUUUUUAAAGCCAAAAGGAAGUCUAAUGCUAUCUCUAGUGGUCCCCACACCAAAUUCAAAGUCUUGUACGUUUCUUUUCCUAGAGUCCAAAUGACUCAUGCUUCUUAUCCGUGGUCCCCGCACAUGUGGACAAAGCCUCCAAAGUACUUGUUGUUCCAAAUCUCUCUACGUUGCUUUCUUUGAAAAGCCCAAAUGACUAAAUGCCUUGCACUAGCUUGUGGUCCCCACCAAUUCAAGGACCCAAAGGUUGAAGCCCUUAGAAGUCUGCAUUUUUCCAUACAAGUCCCUCCUUUUUGGUAAUUUUCUGCUUCACUCCUGAAAUUGAUUCCAAAUACCAAAUAUGAGUAAAUAUCAGCAAUUAACACAAUAUUUGUCAGGAAUAGAAGGGGAAAUCAAUAAUAAAUUUACUAACAAAUUAUACCCUAUCAACUCUUAUCAUCUCAAAUAUGAACUACUAAUAAGCACUUUGAUGUCCCCAGUUGCUUCCCUGAUUCUUUUUGCAGACUCUUCUGCAGAUUGUCCACACCAGUGCACUUCAAUCAAUUCCAGUGUGCCUAUGUCAGCAAAAUCAUUCGGGAUUUCCUCGAGGUCUUUGCAAUUUUGCAAGACAAAGCCGUUCAAGUUUGGGAAGGUGAUCACAAGUGGCAUUCCAUUGAGAAACGUUCAGAUUGUCUAACUUCAAGAAUUUGAGUUCCUUGAAGUGUUCUUCCUCCAUGUCCCAUAUCAGCCCCUCAAAGGCAUCACGAAGUAAUUCGAGAACUUCCAGGUUGGGUAGUCUCCCAAUUGUUGAGAUCUGACUCCAUGGUAGACGAAAGUUUGAAAGAGUCAAUUUCCUCAGAUUGGACGGGAGAAUGAAUUCCCUGGUAAUAGCGCUCCCGUAGUAAAAUACAUUGAGUGACACCAAAUGAGUUAGAAAAUCUAAUCUUGGAAACUGAUAGGAAUUCUUCGGAGAACCCUGUGGUUGAAAGAAUAUGCAUCUCAGUUUCUGAAGAUUUGGCAACCUCUUUAUUAUUGAUUCUGUAUCUUCACCACAAGAGAGAGAGAGACGGGAAAAGCUGACCAAAUUUCCCAACUGAGAGCAGCCUUCAAGCCCUUCAUCAUCCAAUGUGAAAGCAACAUGCAUAUUCACAUGAAGAUGCCUCAACCUUGUCAUGUGCCAAAUAGUAUCUGGUACGACAUUUGCCAAAUAGUACAAGGGGACACAAAAGGCAUUUGCUUUUUUCCAUACAUGUGAAGAAAUUCUCAAUAUUUAAUGACUGCUAUAAGAAGAAAAUUAGCAAAAAUCCUAACUCUCUAAUUAUCCAAAUCGAAUGGUAGAUUAGGGCUAUUAUAAUCUCUUAAUUGGCAUUGUUUGAAUUGGUCUUGCUAAAGAAAAAUUUAUGUAAUAGUACAUAAAAACACUGCAAAGAAACUAGUCCCUUUUGAUUAUUUAGCUGCUGUAGAUAUAUUUGAUUUUUCAAUAAUUACAGAAGAAUGCGUGGUUGAAUUGUUAUGAGUUAGCCCAGUGAAAACAUUUUGAUCGUGAUGUGAAUUGCUUUCAGAUACAAAACUUUGGAAGAAGCUUGUUUAUUGCUAAUUCGAUUUUGGUUAGCUUAUAAGUAGUUGUUGGGAAUUCACACUACUGGUUAUCAUUUAUACAUUUAAGAGUCAAUUCAAUAUUGAUAUCUUUAGCUUACAACAAAAUGGAGGAGAUUUACAUUGUUGAUUACUAUUAUUACAAGUUGUAAGCCAGUAUUACUCUAGUUGGUUUACAAGCAAUUCUUGGACAUUCAAAUUAGUAGCUGCUGUUUUUACACCCAAGGGUUAAAAGUAUUAUUGUAGUUUGUUUAAAACCAAUUUGUGGAUAUUUACACCAGUAGUUACUACUUUAAGUGCUGGCUAAUCUUGUUACUCUACAACCAUUUGUUGGACAGUGGACAUUGGUUAAUAAAUCCGCCUUAUGCAUAUGCAAACAAACUUAUUAAAGAUACACUUGCAAGCUAGAGUUGGCUUGAUAUUAUGAAGGCAUGCUCAAGGAUUCUUAAUUAGGUUCGAAAAUUUUGCAUUAAAUUGGGUUAAAUAUAAGAAAGCCUUUUAUCGUUUGUUGAAUGUUUAACUUUAACCCCUUAAUGUUUAGAAACCUACAUUCUAACUCCUUAUGAUUUUAACUAAAUUGAAAGUUGGAUAGAAACUAUCUAAACUAAUGGUUGCAUCUAAGAUGUCAAAAUUGUCCUUUAUAAAUAAUAAGAUUUAGUACAAAGAUCUAAUAAUGAUUUUCUUUGCUGGAAGAAUGUAGUUGCUAAAGGAAUCAAUAAGAUUGUUUACCACAAGGGGUAGGAAUGUAGUUUUCGAAUCAUAAAGAGUUAAGAAUAUACAUUAAAGGACUUAUUGAAAUUGUUUAUCAGGAAGAGUUAGAAUGUAAGUUUGUGAAGUUGUUAAAGGAUUAAUUGAGAUUGAUUACUACGAAAGGCAAGCAUAUAGGUUUCUGAAGCAUAGAGAUUUAAGAAUAUAGAUAGCAUGUUCAUCAAUUAAGGCAUUGCAAAAUAAAUAAAUAAAUAAAAUAAUCAUGCAAUGUACCCUUCCAUUGAUAUGCAGGCAUGACAAGUAAUUUUAGGUUAAGCAUUUUGUUUGUUUAGCAAUCUAUUUUUCAUUUGUAUUGUUGAGAACUUCUUUCACAUACGUAAUUUGAGCAUUUGCACUCUUUUUUAGGUGUGUAAUUACCAUUUUUUAGAUGGCUUGAAAAGGUCUGAAUGUUUGUCACUCUUUGUUAUUCAUUAAUAUAAGUGUAAAAUGAAAGUCCAUAAGUUGUUAGAGUCUAUUUUUUUUAUUUUGUUAAUGCUAGAAAUUAUUUGACUAGUUGAGAUUGUUAAGUAAUUCUUGUAACAAGUUUAGUGCACUAAAUUACUUACAAUCUACUCUUUGUUUGAUGGGCAAUGAGAGUCAAGGGUUAAAGUUAAUACUUAUGUCAGAAUAUAUGUUACCUACAACUGUUGAUUUUCUUUUUAGGUGUUGUCUUUGUUUUCUUUUUUGCCUAUCAAACUGUAGUUUGGGAAGCUAUUUCUAUUUGAAAUUCUUGUUAGUAUGCUUUCACAAUAUUUCAUUUGCAACUCCGGAGCAAAUUUGGAAAUUUUUUUUUUUUUUUUUUUUAGCUUUAGUUGGAGUGUGAGUUGUUUACAUUGGUUAUUGCUCAUGGUCUUAUAAUUGGUAUUCGGCAUCUAUAUAUAUUUGCUACGUAUUAUAUAUCUUUUUUUAUUUCUAAUUUAUUGUCUUUUAUGUUAUUUUCAAUAAUAAUACAGGAAAUUUUUUAUUUUACCGCAUAGCUAUUGAAAUUGCAUGCCAUCCACAUUCUUCAAGUCUAUUAAUUCAAGUCUUAUUUAUAUAUAUAUAUAUAUAUAUAUAUAUAUAUAUAUAUAUAAGUCUGUUCUUGUUUCGUUCUUAUGUUCUUGAUUUUUUUUGUCCAAUUUUUUAUCCAGUUAAUUAAGUUGAUGUUUUUCUUACCAAAGUAUUCAAUGAUUAACCUUGGUACAUUCAUAAUCUUUAACUCUUUUGUAACUAAUAUAUAUGGUUAUGUAGUUGUAGAUGCAAAUUUGGAAACGUCAACUUCUCUAAACUUCAGGUGAGUUUCAUAUUGUCUUCUACACACAAUCCCAUUAAAUCAAAUCACUAUGUUUAAGAUAGACGCCCCCUACAUUCUGCCAAUUUUGAUGUUGGAGUGUACUGAAUUUCUCUAAAACUGAGUUGGGGAAUUAUAAUAUUGUAAUAAUUUCCUUUUGCACUUCUUCUUUGAUUACUGGAACACUCCUGUUAGUGACGCUGCAGCUUCAAUUCUCUAAUGCAUUACUGGAUAGACUUAGUGACCGUUAUUCAUCAUAUUAUGGCUUAAUAAGCCAUAAUAUGGACGAAAGGAUGAUGCACGGACUAAAAUUAUAAUUAGUAUCUCCACAGAAUUCAUGUCAUGAUGUACCGAUUAAUAUGAGCAUCUUGCUAGAAGUAAGGCUGCACACGAAUCAAGCUACUCGCAAGGAGCUUGAGUCGAGCUCGGACAACAUCGAGUUCGAACUCAUCAAGUCGAACUCAAGCUCAAAAAUACUCAAUUCAUUAGCUCCUGAGUCGACUCGAAUUUAUAUGCAUGUAUAUAUAUAUAUUAUUUUAAUAGUGAAAUUAUAUAUAUAUCCCUGAUGCAUUACCAACGAAACCAACUUAAAAAUAUUGAAUUCACCUUUCCAAAGAUGUCAAUUAGCUUGAAGUUGAAUUAAGAAACACAUCCGCUCACAACUGAAUCGAGGAAAGAACAAGUUGCUGAAAUUUGAUUAUCUUACAAGUUCGUAGAGUAAUACAACAGAACCUACAAUCAAGCUCAUCAUUUCAAAUGUGAACUAAUAAUGACUUUGAUGUCCCCAACUGCUUCCCUGAUUCCUUUUGCAGACUCUUCUGCAGAUUGUCCACACCAGUGCACUUCAAUCACUUCCAGUGUACCUAUGUCUGCAAAAUCGUUCGGGAUUUCCUCCAGGUCUUUGCAAUUUCGCAAGACAAGCCGUUCAAGUUUGGGAAGGUGAUCACUAGUAGCAUUCCAUUGACAAAUGUUCAGAUCGUCUAACUUCAAGAAUUUAAGUUCCUUGAACUGUUCUUCCUCCAUGUCCCAUACCAGCCCCUCAAAGGCACCAAGAAGUAACUUGAGGACUUCCAGGUUGGGUAGUCUCCCAAUUGUUGGGAUGUGGCUCCAUGGCAGGUGAAAGUUUGAAAGAGUCAAUUCCCUCAGAUUUGGUGGGAGAACGAAUUCACUGGUGAUAGCUCUCCCAACGUAAGAUACAUUGAGCGACACCAAACGAGUUAGAGAAUCCAGUUUUGGAAAC